rnacentral:lncRNA from 1 species
UUGUCAUCCGGUAGAAAAUACAAUCAACCCACACAUGAUCUUUAGAACAGAGUGAAGCGUGUUAAUUUUAGCUGAUUUUUCUUGUUUGCUAUUGUAAGCAGAAGAGAUUGGAUCAGAUGCAUGCGACAAACAGGUUAGCAAGACAUGGCCGAAAUACUUACCAUGUGUUGUGAACGGCAAAUGCAACGACCCUUGCAAGAACGAGGGGUUCGACAGCGGCCGGUGCACGAAAUUUACUACAUGCUUAUGCUAUAGGAACUGCACCGGUGUACGGCGAUUGCUGUAGCGAUAUAUAUUUAUUGAAUAAAUAAAUCAAGAAGCUCCUUAGACAGAUUUGUAUGCUUUUAUUUUUAAGAAAAGAACUAAAGAAACACGACACCGGUUGAAAAGGCAGGACUCCAAGCGGUCGGCUCCAACUUAUCUUAUUGGUUUUCCUACUGCCUCGUAUUCACGCAUGCAUGACCAGGGCUUCAAACAUACAGUGGAUCUCCUAUUUUAUUUUUAACCAAGAACUAGUAAAAUGCCGUGCGCUACUACGGGAGCGUGAAUAUUUUAGUAGGUCGCUCCUAUUAAAAUAGGUUGUUACGAGUAACGUGUGAAAUUUUUAACAUGAGGAGGUGUUGGGAUGUAAACGAAUCAGACCGGAUUUUUUCUCUACCAUAUUUUUUCUCGAGUUUAGGUCAGAUCGAAUAAUGAACAGUUUCGGAUUCGGUGGCGGAUAUAAAUAAUCAUGGAUUCGAAACGGAAACAUAGCGGAUUCGGGGCGUAAAUAAAAUUAAUCGGAUCGGUACGCGCAAUGUACAUCAUCAACCCACAAAACCAAAAAUAAUGGCUCAACAACUUAAUAAACUAACAAAGUUUUAUUUCAUAGCGGAAACUGUCUUUUAUUCCCGGACACCAGUGCUCCUGUCACUAAAAAAAUUCAAAAAUCGUAUUUAUUAGUGUCAAAAAAUUCUGAAAACAAAUAUGGACGUUGCCAAUAUUAUAUCCCACGAAUGUGUAAAUUUUCAAUCUGAUAUACCUUAUAUUUUGGGCUACACAAAAAUAACAAAUCUGAUAGAAUUUGGAGAUUUGAAAAUAUGCAUACUUGGAUCUACACUUUUGUGAUUUUUGUGUAGCUAAAAAUACAACGUAUUUGAAUUUGAUAUCUUACAUGUUCAUGGGAUAUAUCAUUAACUCUCUCCAAUUUUAUUUUCAGAAUUUGCUAAAAAUUAUAAAUAUGAUUUUCGAAUGGAUUGGUCGCGGCGAAGCAAACCGUGUGGAAUAGUCACUAGUAGAAAACAGGGCUUCCAUAAGGUCCUUUUGUCUCAGCCAUUAUUGGAACCGGGACUAAUGGGAGCAUUAGUCCCAGUUCCAGCGGCGAGGAGGUCGGCUAGCACCAGUCACUGUUCCUAGGGGACCUUUAGUCCCGCUUGGUAAUACCAACCAAGACUAAAGGGGGUGCGGCAGGCCACCGCAGUGUGGGGCCCAGCGCGAGAACCUUUAGUACUGGUUCGUAUCACGAACCGGUACUAAAGAUGGAGCUUUAGUACCGGUUCGUGAAACGAACCGGGACAAAAGAUCUCCCCUAUAUCAUCUUCCACCCGAGCCAGCCAUCUCCAUUUUUGAGCUCGAGUUCAUCCCCAUUUUUCUCCACAAUUUGUCAAGAUUGGCGGCACCCAUCUAUCCAAGGGUUAGCAACUUCAUCCUUUCUUCCGGCAUUGCAAGUUUAGCUCAUUUCAUUGAUAGUUUAGCUCAUAUCAUUUUUCUAGUGCUAGCUAGGUGUUUGAUGAAAUGCAUAAGUUAGGAAGUUCAUUUGUUUUAUAUGCAACUUGAGCUGAAAUUAAAUUACAAUUUGUGGGUUUUAGUGUCAUCCUGUCCCCUUCCUCACCGCCGUUCAUCGCUCGCGCCGCCUCGUCGCCGGCACCACCUUGGUGAGCCUCUUGUUCUUAUAAAAAACAAUUUCCUAUUUGUAUGAUUUACAUAGUUACUUGUAUAAUUUUCUUACUUAUAUCAUUGUUUGUUAUAGUAUAGUGUCAUGGUUUUGAUAUCCGUCCCCGUCGGCCCUCGUCCAGUCUAUGAUCCGGAUGUGGUAUAUUAUCUUUUAUAACUAUUUGUUUUUAUUUCAUGUUUAUGACAAUUAAUUACGCCGACCAACUUGACAUAGAUAUUUUUAUCUAGGAGGUAGUGGAACCGGAAAUUCCAGUCGACCCUCUUGUCAAGAUGUUAAAUUUAGUUGAAAAAGAAAAUGAUGACUUGAAGCAAAGAUUGAAAAAAGCUGAAGAAGAGAAGAUGAAAUUGGAGUUUUAUCUUGCCGAUUUCGUCAAUGAUCACAAGAUCAAGAUGUAUGCAAUGCGCUUGAAGAUUAGAAAGAUUAGAAAAUAUGCAAUUAAUAAAGAGGCUUGGUAUCAUUAUGCUGUCGGGUCAAUGGUUACCUUAGUUGCGAUUUUGAUCGCAUUUGUUGUUGCAUUUAAAUGCAUUAAUUAAAUAGUUGUAUGUUAGUUUCAGUGUAUGUUUUAUGAGAACUAUGUAUUACAUUUGGUCACUACUCUACUUUGGUUUUAAUGUGAUGAACUUGUAUGAAUUAAUUUCUUCGGUUCUCUAUUCAUAAUGAUGUAGUGUAAUGGUUUUUCAUAUAUUUAUAUAAUGCAGAUGAGCCAGCAAUGGAUGUACGGUGACCGACGUUGUCCCGAGUUCAUUAAUGGCAUGCAUAAUUUUCUCUGUGUGGCUGAGGCAAAUAAGAAGAAUGGCUUUAUGUUUUAUCCAUGUCGUGCUUGUAAGAAUACGAAGGAUUACUCUUCCUCAAACACACUUCACAUCUACCUGUUGCAGUCCGGUUUCAUGCCCGGCUAUAAUUGUUGGACUAAGUACGGGGAAAGAGGGGUUAUAAUGGAAGAAAAUGAAGAAGAAGAGGAUGAUGACAACUAUCCUAUGUUCCCUGAGCAUGGUGGUAUUACAAUGGAGGAAGACGAAGAUGAAGAAGAGGCCAUUAUUGAUGAGCCUGAUGAUGAUCUUCGCCAGGUAAUUCUUGAUGCACAGAUGAACCGCGAAAGGGAAAACGAGAGGUUGAUGAAGUUGGAGCGCAUGUUAGAGGAUCACCAAACAUUGUUGUACCCAAAUUGUGAAGAUGGCCAGAAAAAGUUAGGUACUGUCGGUGUCAAAACUGGCAGAUCUCGUGUAGGGGGUCCCAAGUGGCUUGUCUUAGGAUCGAUGGUAACAUGGACAGGGGAUUUUACCCGGCUCCGGGAUCUCUCGAAGAGAUAAUACCCUACAUGUUGCUUUUGAUUGUAUUCGAUGCAUAUGAUUACAGAGUUGAUCUACCUCGAGAUCAUAUAUUGUGGUCUAAACCCUAGAGGUAUGAUGAGUAAUGUCAUGAUGCUCUAUCGACUAGCCUGGCCUCAGCUUAUAUAAUGUACCAGAGGCCUAGGAUAACAAGAGUCCUAGUCGAAUAGGCCGGUGGAGAGGAGUCCUUGUCCUGAUCACUAAGUCUGGUGGAAUCUUCCUCAUGUAUACAUCGGCUGUCCGAACUAGCCCAUGAGCAAACGGCCAUCGGGGUCCUCGGCCCAAUCCAACUAAUCGGGGGACGGCGUGGUGAGUACCCCCUAGUCCAGGACACCGUCCGUAGCCCCCUGAACCGGUCUUCAAGUUGGGGACGCUCCUCAAUUCUUCCGAGCUGUUCUUCACCUUCGGUCGUCGGUCUUGAAAACUGGUUCAACAAAUCAUCUCAUCUUCGAUCUUGAGGAUCGCCAAACUGAAUCCGAAGAGUUUACACGCCGGGUAUCCGAGGAGGCCCUUUAAGUUCUCGGCCUUUAUCAAUGCCUUGUUAUUAUUUUUUAUGCCACACCUCGGGUUUGAAGUUGUUCCCGUGCGGCGGUGUCCUCUUGCAUCCGAGCUCCAAUGCCGGACUGCAUUCGAGAUAUCUUUUGCAGCCGAGCACCAACGCCGGAUUAUAUCCGAGCUCCAAUGCCGGACUAUAUCCAAGCUCCAACGCUGGACUAUAUCCAAGGUGUCAUAGAUCACCUUGGCUUGAAAAAGUUUGAAGGAGGUUAUCCGAGUUUAACGCUGAAAAGUUCUCUAUGGAACGAGCCAUUCGAAUCCGAGCUUUAUGCCGGACCACUUCCGAGCUACAACGAUGGUCAGCGUCCAUGGUGUCGUAAACUACCUCGGUCUUUUAAAAGAUUGAAUGAAUUCAACCGAGCUUAAUGCUAGAAAUGCCCUCUAUGGAGCCAUCCAUUGGCGCCCAAGCUUUAUGCCGGACUGCUUCCCAGGUGGUGCACCACCCCGACGGCGGGCUGAUUUUUUUGUGAAUAUUUUUGAUUGGUGCAAUUUAUUCUCUGUCGAGAUAUAUAGCCAGUAUAUGUAUAUCCAGUAGCCCUCAAGGUGUGUGUCGAUCCAAAAUCCGAGAUGCACCUGAAGGAAAACAUAAAACUGCUGAUCCUAGUAGCCCGUGAGACUCAGGUCGAUUCGCGAAAUCGACCUGAGGAUCAAAUCCUAGCUCGGCAGCAUACGUAGGAAUAGAAACGCAGUGUAAUAUAUUAGAGGUAAUAGUGAUCGGCGGACGGGCCCCUGAGAGAGGGUCGUGAGAAGUCGCCGUGAUAUAUUAGCUUGAUGCUGGAUAAGUCCCAGAUAGUACUUAUUGUUGUCCGAAGACGCGCUUGUCCAUAGUUCGGUCAUGCCGAACACUGAGCACUUUGAAUUUUCUGCAUUGAAUAGGCAAUGCAGUAGCCCCCGAGCCACUGGUCGGGUGGCAACACCAGAUCAGGGGAUCGAUGUGCCCCUUUAAUAUUUAUAAAUAAUGAGCGCGAAGACCAGUAGCCCCCGAGCCUUAAUGUGGGCACGGGUGGCCGAAUUAAGGAUCGAUAUCCGUUUGACAGGAAAAAUUUGUUGUGUUUAAGACAAACUUCUCGGAAAGAGAAUAAAGAUCUCUUAAAGGAGCUUAGAGCUGGUCGAAAUCCGAGCUCGCCAAGGUAGGCCCCAAGGGGUUUAAAAGAUGGAUUGCAGUAAAUGGAUUUUACUCGCAAUUUUUAUGUGUAAUGAUUCUAUGUAUCCAAGUACUUUACAUCAUGAAUGCUCGGAUCCGCAUUGUACAACACCUUGUUGAUCGACCAUCGGCUUCAACCUCCUCGGCCAGUGGCCGGGGAGUGUUUGUCCUAAUUUAUAAAGCCUUUACAAGGGCAAAGGUUUACGACAAACAAGGCAAUCUGGCCAUAUGGUUUUAUAAACAAAGGUAUGCGCAGAGAAUGUUAUAUUACUAUUUGAUGUAAGAAACAUCUCCCAAAGAAAAUAAUCCCGCUAUCGGUUCCUUUCUUUGGGUUGUCAUGCCGACCAUGAUCAUGAAACCUCAGCUCCGAUCGAUAUAGGAGAAAAAUAUUAUGGAUUUAAUUUGGGGUAAGUUCCUGGUCUCUAUGGCUUUUAAUGGACCAAAAUUUUCACUUCCGCCGUUGCCGACCAAUUAUAUUCUUUAAGAUGGCUAGCUUUCGGCUUCUCCCAGUCUGAGGUACUAACAGGGAUGACCCGGAAGUAACAAUCACAGAGGUGCUCCCUUUACCUCCUAGCCGAACAAUCGGGAACGUAGUGGUAAUCACGGGAGCCUGGCAAUCCAGCUUGGCCGAAAUCUUAAGUAAAAUUGAUGCAUAUUUAUGGCUUUAUAACGAUGAUUACGGAAGGCGGCCCUUGUAUAUUAAAUACAAAUGCCGAUGAUAUGUUUAUUUUGACUCCGUUGCGACCGUUUAUCAGUUGAAAGUGGCCCAUCGUCGGCUUCCACCCCCUUGUAGAUGCUAUGCAGGGUGUUUCCGCAAUAACAAACAACCCUUAGCCGACGUCUUGGUGCCCGAAGGCGGUUGUGUUAGAGAAAACGAGGCAAUCAGAUAUGUGGGCUUUAUAACUUUCACUUAGUCAUAGGAGCUUAAAGUUGGGAGGCCAGCUACUAGCCCCUGGUUAGUGUUCAGCGAUAGCCGAGGUCAAGCCGUAAACACUUCGGCCAAUGUUAUGAACGGCCCGUCAUUUAACACAGUCAUCGGAUUGCUGACCAGUCUACGCUUAUUAUGACAGUCAGUUUUCGGCUUUCUCCACUGAGGUGCUUAACCAUGCGAGCUGGAAGCACAAUCGCAGUGGUUCUCCCUUUGCACACCUGGCCGAACAAAGCAGAACGUAGGAGGCAAGCAUAGGAGCCAGGCAACCCAACUAUUGACCAAAGACACAAUUCAAAACCGAGGCAUAUAUAGCAAUAUCCGAGAAUGUUUUUGCAGAAUCUCUAAAGGUGUCCGGCGUUGCACCACGAAACUUAUGCUGGAAACACACCAAUAGUUUAAAAGUGCCAUAGGCUCAAAAAGCCAAAAACAUAUGUAAAAGCUUGACGUCCGGACUAAACCGACAUUUUGGUGCCAAUCCGGAAACUGGUCUUUUUUUUAAAUUGUACUUCUAUCGUGCUUUAACAUGACACAUCCGAUCUCAAGACUUCAAGCGGGCUAGCCUACGGCUUCAAGCUCCUUAUCGCGAAGGAGGAGUACUUCUCCGAGGCCAGUUUAGCGAACUAAACUCGAGCGGCUUUAGAGAGAAGCUAGGCUAUCCGGCUAUUGACCAUACACUCGAGUCGAAAAAGGAGCGGUAGAAAAAGACUUUGCAACGACCAAGAAGGAAACACAUUAUUAUAGAACGACUCGUGUAAAUUUUAAGAGCCCCCAUUUAACAUGGGUAAGGGGAGUUUCUUUUAACAAACAAUGUAUGUGAGCAUGGUCGAACCGAACACAAGUUAAAAAUUUAAAACUUUGAGCAUGAAAGCAACUUAGCUGGUUAAUGUGUUCAGCAUUGAUGACACGGUCCGAGCUUGAUGCGGGACAAGGUUCCAUCCCCCAAGCCAGUCCCGAGGUGGCGGAGCGAACAGCUCGACACUCCAAAGUGGUGACAUAGCACGGCCAAUGCAGGCCGACAGAGUGACGCCGAAGUCCUCGGCGUGGGUUAAUGAAGUGUUGACGAAGCCCCCUGUCCAGUCGAGGUGACGUGGUAUGUCAGUACGCUGAGGUGACAACACUGCCCGACCCGAAUCAUUUACCUGUGCACAAAAAAUAGUGCAAACCGAAGAUAAUAGUAAUAAUAAUAAAUUAAAAAAAUUGUUGCAUAAUAAAUAAUUUAUGCAAAGUGAGUAAUAAAAGAAAUAUGGCCUAUGCGCCGAACACUCGAUGAGGUAAAGCUCUCUCGGCGAUGCCGAAGUCCCUGAGGCAACCGAACACGUCGGUAUGGCAACGCGACUAACAAGGUGAUCACGCGAGAUGAUUUACGCCGAUUGGGACGACGGCGUUGGCUUGCCGAAGAGACCACAUGAUGUAGUCGAAGUCCAUUACCUGCACAUGUAAAAUAGUGCAGGCCAAGAAUAAUAAUAUAAAUAUAUAAAAAUCCUCGUGUAAUUAAUUGAUGCAAGAUAAUUUAUUUAAAAAUAUGUGGCCUGGCGCCGAAGUCAAUGUCGAUGCAGGGCGUAGGCGUGAUGCGGUAAAGGCGUGGCAAAGCCUGAAUUCACAGGUCGGUCUGAGUUCCGGAUGCGGCGUUCGCCGAACUAUGUAUGGAAACUGACCGAACCACCACGCGACCGUCGUUAAUGCGGCCGCCAUUUGAUAGACCUGUGUACAGAUGAUGGAAUAAACCAGAGUAUUAAUUCCUUGGGAAAAAUAAACCCAAACAAGCAAAAAUUGCUAGGAUUAAUAACACCUAGUUUAUUUGUUGUAGCAGUCCGAAUAAAAUUGGGACUCGAUCCGCACACCCAUUGCCUGAUGGACGAUGAAGCGACGGCAUGGCGAUGCUGGUAAAGGUUGGCUCGCCGAGGCAAAGCCCCGGUCCAGCUAACGUGACGAAGCUGGUCGGCUGAUGACGCCAAAGUCUCCGGAGUAGGUUGAUGAAGGGAUGGCGAAGCCCCCGGUCCAGACGAGGUGACGGAGCAGGUCGGUAAGGAGACGUUGCAGCUGCCAUGUCAGCCGAGGUGUCGAAGUAGUUCGGCGUGAUGGACAUCGGCUUGAAGAAGCAACGGUGCGGCCAUGCCGAUGCAGGUCAUAACUCGUGACGUGAUCAAUGCCGGCUUGAUGAAGUGACCGUGCGGCGAUGCCGAUGUGCCCGCUCCGUGUAAUCCGUGGGGCGGCGAGGUUGGUGAUGAUUUAUCCUUCGCGAUGCCGAACUCUUGUUCGGCUUGCCGAGAUGACGAUCCGAAGAAGUUGAGCUCGGCUCAACAAAGCGACGAUGUGUCUAGCGCAAGUCGGCAGUCGUGGAGCAACGUUGUCGGGCUGGUUUGACACCGGCGUGAUGGUGAAGAUCAUAUUGGAAAAGACUUUAAAAUUAGUGGGAUUUGUUUGGGAACAAAACACAAUACCCAAAACUUCCUUCAAGAAGGAUAUCCUAAAUCCCGUUCAUAAAAAAGAUGAACUCGUGUUGGAUUCGUUCUCGCGCAGAAAACAGAUCUGAAAAGUGAUGCACUAAUCGGAAGGUUCCCGGAGUUUGAACGGUCGGAUCGAGCUGAAAUUUUGAGGGGUGGUAGAUAUAGGAAUUCCUCAGCCGAUCAACGGUUGAAUCUUCCAAAGGACGUCCGAGCUAGGUGCUGGACACCACGCUCCAAACUCGUCCAGAUUCCCAUCCAGAUUCGACAGGGCUCCGGUAUAUCGGACACCGGCGGAGAUUGCUCCAUCGGAACGCGAUGAAAUUUUACAAUGUUGUUGUAGACUCAAUUCCGCACAAUUACACCGAAGGAAUUGUGAAAGCGAUGCUCGAGGAGGUGGUGGUAGCGGAUACAAGUUUGCUGUUCGGAAAAACAACACGGUCGCCCGAAGGCAAUGUUGACGUUGAGCCCCCGAGCUCCAUGGAUGAUUCCUCCAUGAUGUUGAUUGGGAUUGGAGUUGAUGUUGAUGAAGGCCCUCGUCCAAACAUGAUGAUUGGAGGUAGGGCACAGUCCUCGAUCAAGCCAAGGUGACCAGUCGAGGCGGCGACAAAGACGCCAACGUCGCAGUUGAUCUGCAGGCGGGCCAUUGAUCCUUUUGCCGACCAUACAGCGGAACUCUCAAUGAAAGCACCAUUGUCGGUGUCAAAACCGGCAGAUCUUGGGUAGGGGGUCCCAAGCGGCGUGUCUUAGGAUCGAUGGUAACAUGGACACGAGAUUUUACCCAGCUUCGGGCUCUCUCGAAGAGAUAAUACCCUACAUGCUCCUUUUGAUUGUAUUCGAUGCGUAUGAUUACAGAGUUGAUCUACCUCGAGAUCAUAUAUUGUGAUCUAAACCCUAGAGGUAUGAUGAGUAAUGUCAUGAUGCUCUAUCGACUAGCCUGGCCUCAGCUUAUAUAAUGUACCAGAGGCCUAGGAUAACAAGAGCCCUAGUCGAAUACGCCAGUGGAGAGGAGUCCUUGUCCUGAUCACCAAGUCUUGUGGAAUCUUCCUCGUGUAUACAUUGGCUGUCCGAACUGGCCCAUGAGCAAAUGGCCAUGGGGGUCCCCGGCCCAAUCCAACUGAUCAGGAGACGGCACGGUGAGUACCCCCUAGUCCAGGACACCGUCAGGUACCACACUGGAAUUGCUGCAAUAGAAGGCAGAGAAUGGACUAUCUGACAAGGGAUUUGAAAAUUUGCUGAAAAUAUUAAAGAAGAUGCUUCCAAGGGAUAACGUGUUGCCCUCCAGUACGUAGGAAGCAAAGAUGGUUGUCUGCCCUCUAGGAUUAGAGGUGCAGAAGAUACAUGCAUGCAUCCAUGACUGCAUCCUCUACUGCGGUGAGGAGUACAAGAAUUUGAAUGCAUGCCCGGUAUGAGGUGCAUUGCGGUAUAAGAUCAGGUGAGAUUACCCUGGUGAUGUUGAGGGUGAGCCGCGGCCUAGGAAGAGGGUUUCCUUCCAAGGUGAUGUGGUGUGCUCCUAUAAUACCACAGUUGAAACGUUUGUUCCAAAACAAAGAGCAUGCCAAGUUGUUGUGAUGGCACAAAGAAGACAGUAAGAAAGACGAGAUGCUGAGACACCCCGCUGAUGGGUCACAGUGGAGAAAAUCGACAACGAGUUCAAGGACUUUGUAGGUGACGGAAGGAACUUAAGAUUUGGUCUAAGUACAGAUGGCCUGAAUCUAUUUGGUGAGUAGAGCUGUAGUCAUAGCACCUGGCAUGUGACUCUAUGUAUCUAUAACCUUCCUCCUUGGUUGUGCAUGAAGCGGAAGUUCAUUAUGAUGCCAGUGCUUAUCCAAUGCCCGAAGCAACCCAGCAACGACAUUGAUGUGUACCUAAGGUCAUUAGUUGAAGAACUUUUACAUUUGUGGCAUGAAGAAGGUGUACGUGUUUAGGUGAGACUGAAAGUAUAUAUUUGGAUAAAUGUAAUAAGAAUGUGCACCCACGGCAUCGUCGAUUUCCUCUAGACACGCAUCCCUUAAGAAAGAAAGGCAAGCAUUUCAAAGGUGAGGCGGAUCACCGGAUGAAGACUACCCACCCUACUGGUGAUGUUAUAUAUGGCAUGGUCAAGGAUUUAAAAGUAAUCUUUGGAAAAAAGGGUCCUCGCGGACAAUCUGUUCCGAAAGACGCAGACGGACACGUACCUGAUAACCCACAAGUGUAGGUUAUCAGUUGUAGCCUUUCUCAAUAAAUAAGAGUGUCGAACCCAAUGAGGAGCUAAAGGUAGAACAAAUAUUCCCUCAAGUUCUAUCGACCACCGAUACAACUCUACGCGCGCUUAACGUUUGCUUUACCUAGAACAAAUAUGGAACUAGAGGUACUUUGUAGGUGUGAUAGGAUAGGUUUGCAAGAUAAUAAAGAGCAUGUAAAUAAAAUCUAGGGGUUGUUUAGAUAAAGAAACAACUAAGUUAGUUUUAGUAGAGAGCUUUUUGUCACGAGAAAGUUAUUUGUCCCUAGGCAAUCGAUAACUAGACCGGUGAUCAUUAUUGCAAUUCUAUAUGAGGGAGAGGCAUAAGCUAAGAUACUUCCUCUUCUUGGAUCAUAUGCACUUAUGAUUGGAACUCUAGAAAUCAUCCACAACUACUAAAGAUCAUUAAGGUAAAACCCAACCAUAGCAUUAAAGUAUCAAGUCCUCUUUACUCCCAUACGCAAACAACCUACUUACUCGGGUUUAAACUUCUGUCACUCUAGCAACCCACCAUAAGAGAAUCAUGAACAUAUUGCAAACCCUACAGCGAGGAUCCUGAUGAUGACAUGUACCUAGGGUAGGGUAAUAGACCUGAUCUAGACAAUCAUCCCAAGGACACUGCCCUACAAUCAAAGACAUUCAAAGGACGGCAACUUCUACCGACUGAAAUGACCUUAGGAUGCAACCCACUCGACCAACGGUUCCGCUCGGAUAACCCAAUUCCAUUCGACCAGUAUAUAAUCAUUUGACCAUAUCAGAAACCACUCGGAGUACAGAAGAUCUAAGGUUGCUCUGGAUGGCAACGGUCAGGCGUUCACUCUGUAGUCUUAAUGAUCAUUUAUAUGACUUUAAUGCUGACGUUACCAGUAAUGUCCCCUCUUUAUGUACAUUGAACCCUAUGUAACGGGGGACGAUUGGGGUCCUGGCGCACUCUAUAUAAGCCACCCCUCCUCUGCGACAAGGGUUCACACCCCCUGUAACUUCACGCAUAAUCCAAUCAACCAGCCUCUGGGCACCGAGACAUAGGGCUAUUACUUCCUCUGAGAAGGGCUUGAACUCGUAAAUCUUGCGUGCACAACUUCACCGUAGCUAGGAUCUUGCCUCCUCAUAGCUACCCCCGCAUUCUACUGUCAGACUUAGAACCACGACAGUUGGCGCCCACCGUGGGACUGGUGUCUUAGCGACUUUCCGGUGAGGUUGCGAUUUUUCCGAUUCUCAUCAUCAUGGUUUCCGGCGGUGGUUUGGCUGAGGGCCGCGAGAUUCGUCUCGGCGCACUCGUCUUCGUCGCCGACGACUCUGCCUGGCUCCAGGAGGCCCCCCUCGACAUCGAGACACUCCCUGUCCGCGGGGCGACGCACUUUCGUGCGUGCAUUCGCGUCGUCCUUCUGCGGCAGCCGUCGACCCAAUAUCGGUCGGCUCCCGCGGUGUCUUCGCUCCCUGCUGUUCGUCGUCACAACCGAUCCGGUCGGUCGCGGCUUCAGCGGUGGGUGAUGCAUGCGGUGGCACGUCAGUCGGCCACCCCUCAAGUCACGGCAAUCGAGCCUGAUGAAUCUCUCUACGGCCUGUUCGACUGGCUCCGUCGAGACCCUAUCCGAGUGCGAUAGCAGCAACCCUGCGGCGGAAGUCCUGAUGGUCGACACGCCGUGUAGCCCGCCUGGCAUGCAUCGCAACAGUGGCGGUGACGGCGGUAGCGAUCCGUCGUGCGUUCACGAGGAGUACCACCCUGAAACCCUCUCUUCUCAGCAGAGGGAGGAACUUGACCACCGCAACGUGGAGGCGCUCCACACGCCCAUUGUCGGAGAGACCUCUGAGGCUCGGGCCUUGGGGGCAGCGCGCCUGGCCACUUUGGCUGAGUGCACUCGACUGGAGAACCUUUACCACGCACUCGACGAACAUGCCCGGCGGCAGAUCCCUGAGUCCAGUCGAUGGUAGCAACAACUAUUCCCGCUUGAACCAUAGGUAUACUGCACUCCGAUUCAGAAUCUUACAGCUGCAGCCCGUAUAGCAGAGUCUAUUCAGCCGUCCCAGUCGGAGGCUGGAAGAGGUUUGAUGCAGAUCAGAGCAUUGCUCCGGGCAGCAGGAGAGCAGAACACUGCAGUGUCUUGGUUGCGUAACAGAAUCCAUAGCAGAUCUGUGGUGGCUGACACAGUCUAGUCGGCUCACUGCCCAAGAUCGCCUCCGCAGCAUGAGGGACGUGGGCAUCACCAAGGACAGUACUUGGGUCGGAACCACGAGCAGUACGAUCAUCGGCUCGACCGUGAUGACCGCCGUCGAGUGCCUACGCCCCCUCCGAGGGGCGGAUCAUAUGUGCCCCCGCAUUAUGAUGAUAGGCGCCCGUACAGUGAGGAACGGAGGAUGCCAGUCGACCCAAGAGAGCCAGGGUUUGAUGCAAGGUCAAUUUUGGUGCAAGGUCUGGUUGACAGGAACCGAGCACACAGAGAAGGACACGAUAGAGAUCACUCGACUGGAAGCAGAGUGCAUGUUUCUGGUCCCGAAUGUUUUAGCAGAGCCAUCAAAGCCACAGAGAUCCCUCCCGACUUCAGGUUGGCGACCGGAGUUAGUAAGUUCACUGGUGAAUCAAAGCCUGACACUUGGCUUGAGGAUUACCGAGUGGCUGUACAAAUCGGUGGUGGAAAUGAUGAGGUGGCCAUGAAGCACCUUCCCCUUAUGCUUGAAGGGUCAGCUAGAGCUUGGUUGAAUUAGUUGGCUCCGGGCAGUAUAUUCAGCUGGGAGGAGUUAGCCCGAGUGUUUGUCAGAAUGUUCGAGGGCACAUGCAAACGACCUGCAGGGUUGGCAGAAUUGCAGCAUUGUGUGCAAAAACCGAAUGAAACUUUGAGGGAUUACAUCCAGAGGUGGACCACUUUGCAUCACACAGUGGAGAAUGUGUCUCAGCAUUAAGCAGUUUGCACCUUCAAGGAGGGCGUUUGGUAUCGGGAGCUUAACUUGAAAUUCGGUCGGACAGGAGACAUGACCCUGACCCGAAUGAUGGAAAUAGCCACUCGGUACAUAAACGUCAAAGAAGAAGACCGACUCCGUAGCGGCAAGAGCAAACCAGUCGGCCAGGACAAUGGAGGAGGUAAUUCCAAUCAGAAGCAGAAGCGCAAAGCAGAACCUGCGGAUCCUGAGAGAGGUUGCAGUCGCGACCCAAGGAAAAUUUAAGGGAAAGCCUAAAGGGCCCUGGAUCCCCAAGAAGGUGAAAGAUCAAGCAGGAAACGAUGUGUUGGAUUUGCCAUGUCACACUCGCACCAAGAAGGAUGAAGAGGGUAAUCUGAUUUAUCCCAAACAUACCACUCGACAGUGUCGACUCCUUAUCCAGCAGUUUCGAGAAAAACCACCCAGUGAGAAAGAGAACGAAUCUGAUAAGGAUGAGGACAAGGAAGAGGAUGAUGAUGGAUUUCCCAAUGUCAAUUCCACUUUGGUGAUUUUUGCCGACAUUGAAAGCAAAAGUCAACUGAAAUUCAUCAACAGGGAAUUAAAUAUGGUUGCUCUGGCAAUGACAACGUAUUUGAAAUGGUCAAAGACUCCCAUCACAUUCGACCAGUCCGACCACCCGCCGCGCGUUGCCACCCCUGGGAGGCAAGCAUUGGUGGUCGACCCAGUCGUUGGGGGCACCUGAUUGACCAAAGUCUUGAUGGAUGGCGGCAGUGGUUUGAACAUUUUGUAUGCUGAGACCCUCUGAGGGAUGGGCAUUCCGAUGUCCAAGCUCAGCGAGAGCAACAUGCGGUUCCACGGAGUCAUCCCUGGAAAGAAAGCCGAUUCACUCGGCCAGAUCACUCUUGACAUGGUUUUCGGUGAUUCAAAGAAUUACCGUAAGGAAAAGUUGACAUUUGAAGUUGUGGAUUUUCACAGUGCUUAUCAUGCUAUCCUGGGCAGAACUGCAUAUGCUCGUUUCAUGGCUCGACCAUGUUAUGCGUACCUCAAACUCAAGAUGUCUGGCCCUAGGGGCGUGAUCACAGUCACUGGUAAUCGGCAGCGAGCGGAAGAGUGCCUCCAAAAGGGCUCGAAGAUUGUCAAUGAACAGAUGGCAGCGGUAGAAAUGGAAGAAUACAAGAAGACUGCAGAUCCAAGUGAUUUUUUGAGAGCUAAGAAGCCUGCUUCAGACUCUGCAUUUAAGUUGUCUGGUGAAACAAAGUCAGUUCAUAUUCACCCGACCGAUCCCAAUGCUGCUCCGACUCAUAUCUCAACAACACUCGACAACAAAUAGGAAGAAGCGCUCAUCCAGUUCCUCCGUGAGAACUGGGACAUCUUCGCAUGGAAACCUUUUGACAUGCCAGGUGUACCCAGGGGACUGGCUGAGCACCGUUUGCGAGUCGACCCGAAAGCAAAACCUGUCAAAGAGCAUCUCCGACGGUGAGCCGUGGAGAAAAGAAAGGCAAUUGGCGAGGAAGUGCCUCGGCUUCUGGCAGCUGAGUUCAUCCGAGAGAUUUACCACUCUGAGUGGCUCGCCAACGUCGUCAUGGUCUCCAAGAAAGAUGAUUCUCUCUGUAUGUGUAUUGACUUCAAGCAUAUCAAUCGGGCCUGCCCGAAAGAUCACUUCCCUCUCCCCCGCAUCGAUCAAAUAGUCGACUCAACUAUGGGAUGUGAGUGAUUGUCCUUUCUGGAUGCAUAUUCCGGGUACCAUCAGAUCCGACUGUAUGGACCCGACAAAAUAAAAACAACUUUUAUCACCCCAUUGGGGUGCUUUUGCUAAGUUACUAUGCCCUUUGGUCUCAAGAAUGCGGGUGCCACAUUCAUGCGAUACAGAAGUGCCUCCUCACUUAAAUCAGUCGGAAUGUGGAAGCAUACAUGGAUGACAUUGUGGUUAAGUCACGUAAAGGUUCCGACCUAAUGACUGACCUCACUGAAACCUUUGACAAUCUGAGAAGAUAUGACAUCAAGCUUAAUCCGUCGAAGUGUACAUUCGGAGUUCCAGGUGGAAAGUUACUCGGUUUCCUCAUUUCUGAACGUGGGAUCGAUGCAAACCCAGAGAAAGUUGGUGCAAUACUCCGAAUGAAACGCCCUGUGCGCGUACACGACGUUCAGAAGCUUACUGGUUGUUUGGCAGAUUUGAGUCGAUUCAUCUCUCGUCUCGGUGAAAAGGCAUUGCCUCUUUACCGAUUGAUGAAGAAAUCUGAUAAGUUCGAGUAGACUCCUGAAGCUGAUGCAGCGUUUGUAGAGCUCAAAACCCUGCUUUCCACCCAGCCGAUGCUCGCUGCUCCAAUCAGCAAAGAGCCUUUACUGCUUUAUAUUGCAGCCACUGGACAAGUUGUCAGUACAGUACUCACGGUCGAGCGGGAAGAAGAAGGUAAAGCCUACAAGGUUUAGCGCCCAGUGUACUAUAUUUCUGAAGUCUUAACUCCGUCCAAGCAUAGAUAUCCGCACUAUCAGAAGCUUGUCUAUGGAAUUUACUUGACCACGAAGAAAGUUGCACAUUAUUUCUCAGAUCACUCGAUUACAGUCGUUAGCGAUGCUCCACUGUCAGAAAUUCUGAACAACAAAGAUGCAACUAGUCGAGUGUCAAAGUCGGCGAUUGAACUCCUUCCGUUGGAUAUCAAGUUUGAGGCAAAGAAAGCAAUCAAGUCCCAAGCGAUAGCAGAUUUCCUCGUCGAAUGGAUUGAGCAGCAACAACCGACUCAGAUUCACUCGGAACAUUGGACUAUCUUCUUUGAUGGAUCCAAGAUGCUGAAUGGUUCUAGUGCUGGAGUAGUCCUGGUAUCCCCGCGAGGCGACAAACUCAGUUACGUCCUCCAGAUUCACUUUGAUUCCUCCAACAAUGACGCCUAAUAUGAGGCACUUCUGUAUGGGUUGCGUAUGGCCAUUUCACUCGGCGUCCGUCGCCUAAUGGUCUACAGCGACUCAGAUUUGGUGGUCAAUCAAGUGAUGAAGGAGUGGGACAUCAGGAGCCCAGCUAUGACUGGCUAUUGCAAUGCAGUGAGAAAGUUAGAAAAGAAGUUUGAAGGGCUAGAGCUCCACCACAGUCCCCGACUGAAGAACCAGACAGCUGAUGACCUGGCAAAGAUAGGUUCCAAGCGGGAGCCCAUUCCCAGCAAUGUGUUCUUGGAGCAUCUUCACACACCAUCAGUUCAAGAGGAUCCCUUCACAGAAGAGCCCUCGCAGCCUAAGAGUUCUACUGAUCCGACUGAAGUUGAAAUCCCAGCCGUAGUCGACUUAAUCAUGGAGGUUUUGGUUGUCACUCCUGAUUGGACAGUACCGUAUAUUGCAUAUAUUCUCAGGAAAGAACUUCCAGAAGAUGGAGAUGAGGCACGUCGGAUUUUUCCGUCGAUCCAAAGCCUUCACGGUAAUAGGUGGACAGCUCUACAGAGAGAGUGUUACUGGGGUUGCUCAGUGGUGCAUCACGCCAGAAGAAGGUCGAAUGAUUUUGAAUGACAACCACUCAGGGACCUGUGGUCACCAUGCGUCCUCUCGGAGCAUUGUGGCCAAAGCAUACCGAGCGGGAUUUUAUUGGCCGCGAGAAAAUGAAAUGGUAAAAGACAUAGUCGACAAGUGUGAAGGCUGUCAAUUCUACUCCAACAUGUCUCACAAGCCUGCAUCAGCCCUGAAGACCAUUCCACUCGUCUGGCCCUUUGUAAUUUGGGAAUUGGAUAUGGUUGGACCUCCGAGGACUGGCAUGAGUGGGUUCACUCGUCUACUUGUUGCAGUCGACAAGUUCACUAAGUGGAUUGAAGCCAAACCCAUCAAAAACCUCGACUCAUGUACCGCCAUCAGCUUCAUUAGAGAGUUAACAUUCAGAUAUGGGGUCCCGCACAGCAUCAUCACGGACAAUGGUUCAAACUUUGAUUCAGAUGAGUUCAGAGCUUUCUAUGCUUCCCAAGACACUCGGGUCGACUAUGCUUUAGUCGCUCACCCGUAGUCGAAUGGACAAGCAGAAAGGGCAAAUGGUUUGAUCCUCCAGGGUCUGAAGCCCAGGUUGAUGCAUGACCUCAAACACGCGGCAUGUGCCUGGGUGGACGAGUUACCAUCAGUACUGUGGGGCCUAAGAACAACGCCGAAUCGGUCGACUGGUCGGACUCCCUUCUUCAUGGUCUAUGGAGCUGAAGUUGUGCUGCCGUCUGAUUUACUUCACAAUGCUUCGCGAGUAGAACUUUUCUCAGAAGCAGAAGCAAAACAAGCCCGGCAAGAUGUUGUUGAUCUUCUGGCAGAGGAAAGAGAGAUGGCCCUGAUCAGGUCGACCAUUUAUAAGCAAGACCUCCGUCAUUUCCAUGCUAGAAACGUGAGAGGUUGAGCAUUUCAGGAGGGAGACCUCGUGCUCCGAGUGGAUCAGCAAUGGCCUCACAAACUUUCUCCCGCUUGGGAAGGCCCCUUCAUCAUCACCAAGGUGCUCCACAAUGGAGCGUAUCAUCUGUACGAUGUGGAACACAAGAAAGACGAGCCACGCGCUUGGAAUGCGGAGCUGCUCCGCCAUUUUUAUACUUAAGCAUUCAUACUGUUGAGAUGUAAUAAGAAGUACCUUUUAGUUUAUUUAUCAAAGACACGGUUUUACAGUCUCCUAAAUGAUUGUUGUUACUUAUACAUGUGUUCAAAAUCCCCCAGUGGGUGUCUUAGCUCCAAAUCCGAUUUGCCUAAGUUUCAAAAACAAAAUCCUACCAAGUGAAGAGCAAGCCUCUCACUCGGGGGCUUAGCUGCGAAUUUGGUUCGCCUAAGUUUGAAAAAAUCCUACCGAGUGAAGAGCAAGCCUCUCACUCGGGGGCUUAGCUGCAGUUCCGUACUCGCCUAAGUUUGAAAAGUCCCACCGAGUGAAGAGCAACCUUCUCACUCGGGGGCUUAGCUGCAAUUCCGUACUCGCCUAAGUUUGAAAAAAUCCCACCGAGUGAAGAGCAACCCUCUCACUCAGGGGCUUAGUUGCAGUUCCGUACUUGCCUAAGUUUGGAAAUCCCACCAAGUGAAGAACAACCCUCUCACUCGGGGGCUUAGCUGCAGUUCUNNNNNNNNNNNNNNNNNNNNNNNNNNNNNNNNNNNNNNNNNNNNNNNNNNNNNNNNNNNNNNNNNNNNNNNNNNNNNNNNNNNNNNNNNNNNNNNNNNNNNNNNNNNNNNNNNNNNNNNNNNNNNNNNNNNNNNNNNNNNNNNNNNNNNNNNNNNNNNNNNNNNNNNNNNNNNNNNNNNNNNNNNNNNNNNNNNNNNNNNNNNNNNNNNNNNNNNNNNNNNNNNNNNNNNNNNNNNNNNNNNNNNNNNNNNNNNNNNNNNNNNNNNNNNNNNNNNNNNNNNNNNNNNNNNNNNNNNNNNNNNNNNNNNNNNNNNNNNNNNNNNNNNNNNNNNNNNNNNNNNNNNNNNNNNNNNNNNNNNNNNNNNNNNNNNNNNNNNNNNNNNNNNNNNNNNNNNNNNNNNNNNNNNNNNNNNNNNNNNNUCACUCGGGGGCUUAGCUGUAGUUCCAUACUCGCCUAAGUUUGAAAAAAUCCCACCGAGUGAAGAGCAACCCUCUCACUCGGGGGCUUAGCUGCAGUUUCGUACUCGCCUAAGUUUGAAAAAUCCCACCGAGUGAAGAGCAACCCUCUCACUCGGGGGCUUAGCUGCAGUUCCAUACUCGCCUAAGUUUGAAAAAAUCUCACCGAGUGAAGAGCAACCCUCUCACUCGGGGGCUUAGCUGCAGUUCCGUACUCGCCUAAGUUUGAAAAAAAAUCCCACCGAGUGAACAGCAACCUUCUCACUCGGGGACUUGGCCACACGCUCCAUCAUGAUCCAUAAGGACGAUGAGGUACAGGUCAUCUGUGACCUUCUCCUUAGAGCUACGCCACAAAUACAAUGUGCGCUCCAUCUUGAUCCGCAAGGACGACGAGGUGCAGGUCGUUUGCGACCUUCUCCUCAGAGCUGCGCUGCAAAUACAAUGUGCGAUCCAUCCCGAUCAGCAGGAACAGCGAGGUGUAGGUCGUCCGCGACCCUUUCCUCAGAACAACAUCACAAGUACCAAAGUCUGUUCCGUGUGAAGAUACAAGUUCCACUCGGAGAUAAAGGAAAACAUAUUUAAGAAAAAACCAAGUUCAGAUAAAUCCCACGAGGUUCCAGACCACAGAUUAAGGUACUCGGGCAUCAGGCCCAAAGGAGACUAACGGUUACAAAACCACUGGGCAUACCGAGGCUAAUUUAAUCGGAUCAUAAAAGUUUGUUCACUCCGCAGGAGGAGGACUGGCAGGCUCGACAAACUCAUCCAGGUCAAUUCCAUCUGCAAUACGAGUAGCAGCAGCAUUGAAGGUCUCCAUGAAAGACUGGAAGUCCAGUCUCUUGGUGCUGGCAACCUUGAUCGCUGCUAACUUCUCUUCUUUGGCCUCCUUGCAAUGGACGCGAACAAGGGACAGAGCUACGUCAGCGCCACACUGAGCAGAGAAUUUCUUCCAUUCCUGCACUCGACCAGGGAUCUCAUUGAUUUGAGUCAUGAAAGACUCAAGGUCAUUUUGGAGCAUCUCCCUUGGCCAGAGCGCCGUGUCGAUCCGCGACACCGCAACCUUCAGUCGAGCGAGGUAGUCUGUAACACUGGCAAGUCGGGAUUCCAGUCGAAGCGCGUCAUGGCAGCUUCAUCCUUAACAGGGGAAUUGAUAGGGUCCAAGCUUGUCUCGAUUCGCCCAGUUUCUUCCUCAAAGUUUUGGCAGAAUUCUGUACUCACAAAGAAAUAAUGAGUCGACGGCUUUAUGAUGAAUCGACGAUAACAAAACAGUCGGACAAGGAAAGGUACCUUCAAGCAUAAUGAAUAACUUCUUGGCGAGUCCUCCCAGAUAAGUCUCCAGCUCGUCUCUCCUUCGACUGAGAUCACCAACCUUGUCAGUCAAAGCUCCCUUGUCCUUCUUCAGCCGAGUCACCUCUUUAUUGGCCUCGUCAAGAGUAGUCUUCAGCUUGGCAUUUUCUGUUUCUAACUUCCCGACUGAAGCCAGCUUCUCGUCGGCAAGUGAUGUUUUCUCUUCGGCAGAUUUUUGUGUGGCCGCAAGGUCAAGAUCCUUCUUCUCCAAAGCCUGGCUCAUUUUUUCUGAAAGAAAUAACGCUCGGUUCAGAGGAAGCAAAAAACACUCGGUUCAGAAAAGAGUCAGUCGACAAGUUUUCCAUACUAGCAGCAUCAUCCUUAGCAUUCUGAAAGUUCUCCUUGGCUAACUCCAGAUCAAGAUUGAGCUGGAUCUGCUUCUGCUCCAAGUCAGCAAACUGGGCUCCAAGUUCACAAGAUUCCUGUGGUCAGGGGACAGUCAGUCAACAGAUACAAAGUUUGGUUGCUUACCAGGCAAUGAAGUUCAAAUUCAAAAAGUUCUAAGACUACUGCCGAAUCAAACAUUCAACAAUAGUCUCGGGGACUACACCCAGUGGGUGCACUUAGCGUGCCCCCACUGGUGCAGGUUCCACUCGACAUGGUCCGUACAGACCGAGUGGAAGAAUGUAAAAAAAGAAGAAAGAGAGAAGCAACAGUUAUUCUCAAACCACAACCGACUGCCCGCAGUCGACCACGGUCUCGGAGACUACACCCAGUCGGUGCACUCAGCGUGCCCCCACUGGUUCAGGUUCCACUCGACAUGGUCUACCCAGACCGAGUGGAAAAACUGAAGAACAAGACAUAUUUAUCAAGACCCCCGCCGAAUCACACAUUCGACGGCGGCCUCGGGGACUACACCCAGUGGGUGCACUCUGCGUGCCCCCACUAGUCCAAAGAUACAAUCAACACAACCUAGUCGACUCAACUGGAAAAACUACUCAACUUAAAUUGAAACACCCAGUGGGUGUACAGAUGCGAAGUGCAGACUGACAAAUGGAUGCACAAUGAAAGCUUUCAGGUAGCAUAUCCUAACAGAACAAGCGUCAAGCUAGGAGAUCAGUCGGAAAUCAACUAACCUGGACAUUGGCCUGGAGGGUUGAGCUGGCAUCAUAAGCAGCCCGACUGGCCUCAUGCACCACUUUCAUUUGUUCCAUCAUAAGGCCUGCCUGGCGUAUGGCUUCCUUGGCAGCGCCCACUUGGUCCUCUGGGACAUGAUGGGUGGUGAAAAGUGGUGAAGGCAGAUCAAUCGCAGCAGCUUGAGGAUCCGAGGUGUGGUCUCGUACAGAUGAAACAGGGACUUGUGCAGUCAACGAUGAAGGACGUUCACUCGACACUGGAACGGCAAAAGUAACAGAAGCCCGGUUGAGGUCUCUGGACUGCUGAAUCACUGAUUCCGUCACCGGCGUCGACUGGGGCGUCUUGCUAGCUGGUGCCUUCCUGCCUGAAGUCCUGCCCCUCCUUCUCGUGGGUCUCUGUGGCACAUCUUUAUUGUCAUCUGGAAGUUCAAUAACAUUGGGCGGAGCUGCAAAGGAAUCGAUCGCAAGAGUUCAGUCGACCGUCAAAGUGGCUGGUAAAGUAAAGACAAGAUGACAAGAGUUAUACCCGCAUUGGAAGUGACCGCGUCUUCCAUCUCCUCAUCAUCACCAUCUUUAUAAAUAGAUGUCCCAGAAGUAGCAGCACUGCAAAUUUCAGAAUUCACUCGGUCAAAACAGGAAAGUGAGUCGACCGAAGAUCGAGUCAUGCAAAACUAAGUGGUCGAGCACAAUGAUUACCCAGAAGCGAUGGGGACGGCCACUUUAAUCUUGGGCAAGGCCUUCCGGGGCUUUGAUGGCGCGACUUUGGGCUGCUUCGGAGCUUUCUCAGUCGGCACAGGAGAAGAUGUUCGAGUGCGCUUUGAAGUCUGUCCAGUCGGUGGAGUCGCUUUGCCACGAAUACUUGCUGGGUCUUGCCUCUGCUUGGAGCGUCUUUCCGAGCGAGGUGGAGAGUCGACCUCCUCACCACUGCUUGAGUCUUCACUCUCGUCGUCUUCUCCUCCGUCAGAAUGCCAGUCGCCGCUGUCACCUCCGCUCGCUUCUCCCUCCUGCUCCUGCUCCUGCUCCUGCUCUCCGUUGGGCAUCGAAUACAUCUCAGUGUAGAUCUGCAAGGCAUAGAGUUGAGCGGAUAUCAAUCAGUUUCGAGAAUAAAUACAUGUCAGUACAAAAAGACACUCGGAAGUAAAGAGUCGGACCUUGUCUAUCUCGUAGGUGUUGUCGAGUGGAGGAAUCCUCCUAGACCCCCUGGGGUUGUCCUUGUUGCCAAUGAUGCCCCGCAACCACUGCGCCACUAUCUCCUCGUCAACUUCCUCCGGAUGGAUCCGAGUGUUGUCAUCAAUACCCGAGUACAUCCACAUCGGAUGAUCGUGAGCUUGGAGUGGCUGGAUGCGUCAACUGAGAAACACCUCUAACAAGUCCAUGCUAGUCACACCGUCGCGGACAAGUUAGACUACUCGCUCAACCAACAUAUUCACCUCCACUUUCUCAGCUGGAGUCACUUUCAAGGGAGAGGGCUUCUCAACUCGCUCCAUGGAAAAUGGAGGAAGGCCAGUCGACUGACCAGGGGUCGGUUGGUCCUUACAAUAGAACCAGGUCGACUGCCACCCCCUGACUAACUCGGGAAGAAUUAUAGCAGGGAAAGUACUUUUACCCCUCAUCUGGAUCCCUAGACCUCCACACAUCUGGAUCACGUGUGUCCUCUCAUCACUCGGAUUAGCCUUUUUUACAGACUAAGAACGACAAGUGAAAAUGUGUUUGAAGAGACCCCAGUGCGGUCGACAGCCCAGAAAAUUCUCACACAUGGACACGAAUGCAGCGAGGUAGGUGAUGGUGUUGGGGGAGAAGUGAUGAAGUUGGGCUCCAGAAAAGUUCAGAAAGCCCCGGAAGAAAGGAUGGGGGGCAAAGAGAAACCGCGGUCGACGUGAGUCGCGAGAAGGACACACUCACCCUCCUGCGGUUGCGGCUCGGUCUCGUCCUCCGGAAGCCGCCAGGAACCAUGGGGAAUAAAUCUCCCAUCAACCAGAUCCUCCAGAUCCUCCUGCUAGAUCAUGGAUCGAAUCCAGUCGCCCUGGAUCCAGCAGGGCGGCAGGCCAGAUCUCGACGACGACCCUCCCCGGGUCGUCUUCUUGCCCUUCGCCUUCACCGUCGCCUUCUUCGCACGCUCCAGGGUUGCCGUCUUGUCCUUCACCAUUGCUGUGAGUGGCACUCGGGCUGGGCGGCGGCAUCGAGGGUGGAGGCGGACGGAGGGGAGAAGCAGAGGAGGAAGAAAGAAAAUGAGACGCACUGUGCAAAAAACACCGGCCCAGACGCCUUAUAUGGGCCUAAUCCGACUGACUUGUGGGCCCAAGCAAUCCUGUCAAAUCCCGCAACGGGUGCGUGCUUGGUACCUGGCAAAAAAGGAGGCGCGAAAAUUGAGGCACCCCUGCCUAAUCCGCUCCGCUCACUGCGGUCCUCUCCGUCCCGUGCGCUUCUCAAAAUUUCGAAUCCCGUGAGAUCCAGGGAUGCCAGUGCAGUCGAUUGCGCCGAAGAUUUUAUACCAUAUCAGCAUUCGAAGCUUAUCAGCAAAAUUCACUCAACAUUCUCAGAAUGGAUCAAGGCGACUGAAAAUGAGGUCGAACUUUCUGCAUGGUUCACCAAUCCAAGUAAAAUGCUUCCGAAGCAUGAAAGUUGGGUCGGAACCAUCUUCAACUCCAUCUCCACUCGGACCCUGAACCAUUCGGGGGCUAAUCACGAUGACAUGUACCUAGGGUAGGGUAAUAGACAUGAUCUAGACACCCAUCCCAAGGACACUGCCCUACAGUCAAAGACAUUCAAAGGAUGGCAACUUCUACCGACUGAAAUCACCUCAGGAUGCAACCCACUCGACCAACGGUUCCGCUCGGAUAACCCAAUUCCAUUCGACCAGGAUAUAAUCAUUCGAUCAUAUCAGAAACCACUCGGAGUACAGAAGAUCUAAGGUUACUCUGGAUGGCAACGGUCAGACGUUCACUCCGUAGUCUUAAUGAUCAUUUAUAUGACUUUAAUGCUGACGUUACAGUAACGUCCCCUCUUUAUGUACAUUGAACCCUAUGUAACCGGGGAUGGCUGGGGUCCUGGUGCACUCUAUAUAAGCCACCCCCCUCCUCUAGGACAAGGGUUCCCACCCCCUGUAACUUCACGCAUAAUCCAAUCGACCAGCCUCCGGGCACCGAGACGUAGGGCUGUUAAUUCCUCUGAGAAGGGCCUGAACUCGUAAGUCUUGCGUGCACAACUUCACCGUAGCUAGGAUCUUGCCUCCUCAUACCUACCCCCCAUUCUAUUGUCAGACUUAGAACCACGACAGAUCCCUCACGCUUGCGUGACACAGAGAGGACCAUAGGACAACACCAAUAAUAAAACAUACAACUCAAACCAAUCACGAUCAUCAAUUAACCCAUAGGACAAAAUGGGUCUACUCAAACAUCAUAGGAUAGCCAUACAUCAUUGGGAAAUAAUAUAUAGCAUUGAGCACCAUGUUUAAGUAGAGAUUAAAGUGGGGAGAAGAGGUGUUACACCGCUGCAUAGAGGGGGAGAGAGUUGGUGAUGACGGCGGCGAAUUUGUUGGUGUAGAUCACAGUCACGAUGAUGGUCUUGGCGGUGUUCCGAUGCCACCGGGAGGGAGGGGGAGAGAGCCCCCUCCUUCUUCACUACUGCAGGAUGCUGCUAACGCGACACUACGAUCAGAGACCCUUCAAAGAAAUUGUGUGCGAUGCCAUAAUCACAAACGGUGGUGUAAAAUAACCGUCAAAAAAAGGUGCAAAACAUUUGCGAUGGAGGAUGCAUGAAACACGGUUCAGAUUUUAGUUGCGUGUGCGAUGCAGGGCAUACGGUUCAGCUCAAUUAACUGUUUGCGAUGAGGAGGAACAAAAGAAACGGGCAGCCAGAUGAAGGUGUGUGCGAUGUACAUCAUACGGUUCACUCGGAUGAACUGUUUGUGAUUAGGCAACACAAAAGAAACGGUCAGCCCGAUCAAGGUGUGUGCGAUGUACAGCAUACGGUUCACUCGGAUGAACUGUUUGUGAUUAGGCAAGAGAACAGAAACGGUUCAAUAUAACAAGAUGUGUGUGAUACGCGGUAGAUAGGUCUGUAAUCAGAAAUGUGUGCGAAGACUGAUAAUAACGCAGACGAUUGCUUCUAAUAAGACGUAUGUGAUAUGCUCUGUCUACACAACAUCUAUUGGCCAUUGUGGGAUGGGCGGUCAUCCGGAUAUGCCAUAAGGAUGUGAAGAGGCGUUCCUAUUAGCAAGGACUAGCUGUUCCACCUGUAGCUCAUGUAAGAAAACUAUCAAGUUAAGUGUGCUCAGGCUGGAGCAGCCAUCGGAUGGGUGACUGGAUGGGAAGUUGUGUCGACGUUAAAUUAGGUGAUGGGAUGGGUCAUUUCGGUCAAAUGACCAAAAUGCCCCAUUCCCUCAGCUAAUUUAACCUCGAGGUCCUGGUUUUUUUUAACACAUGUUAAAGAAGGUCUACCGCAUUACUUUUUGACAAUGUGCGAUACGUGGCAUACAAUUGAUCCAUCCGACCUAUUUGUGAUGGAAUAGGUCGUGCGUGUUGUGGGAAAACGCUUGCUAGUAUUCAACCGUUUGGUAUUGAUGAAUUCAUCACCGACGGGUUCCCUAGUGUGGUCCAUGUUCAUCUGAUCAUCAUCUACUUCUUGUGCUAGCUCGAUGCUAAGUUUCCAUUAAUUGAUGGCGUUUUAUGAACACGCCACCAUUUCCCGCCAUUUCCUCACCUGUUUCUCGCCACCCUGCUAUAUUGCGCAUAGGGGGCGCGCGACACACGAAGGCGACAAGCGCAGCCUGUAACACAUCCACCUUUUCCAAGCAUGACAACCCACCAAAGCGCCGCCUUUGCCAUCAACCUCGUCGACGAGGAAAACGAGUAGGCGCCAUGGCCCGUCGAGGCUGAGGCGCUCCCCGGCAACUCGAUGGACGACACCGUGAUGCACGUCAUCGCCAGGGUUGAGGGUUGAGCAGACCUUUGGCGCAUGGCGCUUGAGCACCAUGGAUCAAGAUAGGCAUGUCAGCGCUCACAGGCUGCAGCUCGCUGCACAACAUGAUUGAUGGCGCGCCGCAGAGCAAGCUAGGCGCGUCCGCGCCGAUAGGCUGCGGCUCGCCGCACGGCGAGACCGUUGGAGCGUCGCAGAGCGAGAGGCGCGGCGCGCCGCACAGCAAGAGCGGAUCCAUCGGCGCUUGCCUGCUGUCGACACGGAGUCGUAGCUGGGUACAUGUCCUGUCAGUACCCCCACUCCUCGCCAGGAGUGGGCAGAGGCCCUCAGCGCCGUACUUGCACCAGAGGCCGGCCGCGCUGUACUUGCACCGGACGCCCGCCGCGCUGUUCGCAUGGGUGCCGCCGUUCGCCUUAUCCGCGGCCCGCUAGAUGCCAACGCGCUGGUCCGUAGGCUCGACCGCCUCCUUGGCCCAGGUGUCCACCUGGGCGCAGUAGAGGAACAUGGCCAUCGCAUCCUCGAGAUGGUGAUCUCCGAUGAAAUAGCCAACUUGGAGCUCUAGAUCGCGCUCCAGAUGUACCGCGAGCGUGUCGACCACUUGGACGAACGCCUGCACGAGUUCAGGCAGAGCCAAGAGCUACCCUAGGCAAGGGCUGCUGGUCAUGGUCUCAUGGACGCGUUUUAUUUUGAAAAAUCGUUACAACGUGGAUAGCUAUAUAUUCACAGCAAUCAUAGUAUUGCUCUGUUUAUUGCUCUAUUUCAAUGUGUGUACUAUGUUUUCCAUUCUUAUAUGUUCUGUUUCAAUGUGUGUGUGUAUACGCUUUCCAUUCUGUAUAUGUGGAUGAUAAUAGCUAGAUUCAAAUUAGUAUACAAAAACAGAUAGAAAAUGGAAUUCAUAAUAUAUAUGUAUAUAUUAAUUAUUCAUUAGAUCAUCAUAGAAUAUAUAUAGAUAUAAUAUCAUCACAUAUACGUGAUGAUACUUAAUUACUAGGUACAAUGCAUAAAAUUGAAAACGAACAAUACUAAAACUAAUAAUCCCUCCUGGGGCCAGUAUUCCGGCAGCCCCUCGCCAGCAGCUCCCUGGUGCGCGGCGUCUUCCCAGUGCUGAGGCAGUACUCCGACUCCUCCGCCUUGCAGCGCCUGACGUACCGAUCUGCCUCUUGCUGGCGGACGCGCGUGGCCGAUCUUGACAUUUCGUUGGGCGCCCACCAGAGCUCCUCGUCGGUGGCACGCUGGAGCUUAUCGGCCCACCUCCACGCAGCGACGAGGCGCCCAGCGCCUAUGACCUUCCUCGCGAAGUACCCGUCUUCGUACACCUCCUUGGCGCGACGACGCACCCGCCCCCAAAGCUCCGCCGCCUCCUUUUUUCAGGCGGCAUCACGGGCUUCAUAGGCCGCCUGGUACCUGGCUUCCUCCACCAUCUCCUUCUUGAACGCCACUUGCCUGGAUUUCUCAGCCGGAUGAGGGGAGGAUGUAGAUGAGAAUGUAGGCGGGACGACGUGAGCAAGGUAGUAUUUAUUGGCGGACGGAAUCUAGAUCAACGGGGACAGUACACACACCGGUCGCCGAAAUUUACAAGUACUGUAGUUUGAAUUACACACAAUUCCCGCAGCAAAUCCGUGUGUGAACAUAAUAGCUGACGGUUUCCAAUACAGAACCGUGUCUGAUUAAUGAUCCCCGCCAAUCACCUACCAAACCUCGAGCCGCGAGAUAGAGUGCCAAUCGUGUGGGGGCCGGUUGUCUUGCUAGAUCUUUACAUUUUCUUUUUUAAACACCGGAUAUUUACAUCGUCUGAUGAUUUUUUAACUCGCACACAAGUACACAAAAAUAUGAUUUUUCAAACCGUUUUGGUUAGGUGUUGCAUGUAGAUGUAGUUCAAAUUUGAAUUACGGUCAUUAAAUGGUUAGAAAAUCACUUAAAUGUCUUUAAAAGGUCAAAUGACCCCUCAAAAUUUCCAAAGUUUCACAUGACAGUUGUAUUAGUGCACGUUAAACGUAGGAAAAAAAUUGAAGGCCGUAAGAGGAAGCUAUCUCCCGUCCGUCAGCAAACAUGCAUUGUUCCCUCUUGGAACCACGAACCUUCUAGCGAGUUGCUCCGGUUUGUGAGGGGUGUGUGUCCAAACUUUCGUCAAACAGGCCAAUUUUUUGACCACAUCAUCUUUGUGGCAUGACAUUAAUUCAAGCAAGGUUUCAUGUUUUUCUGAUCAUUUUUUAAUUUUUUGGAAUUAAAAUGCCAGGGCAUGCACUCCAUGCAUGUGCCCAUGCCUUGACACCAAUAUGUUUGAAAUUUCCUUUUAAUUUACUGCACAUGGAAUUAACUCGCACACAAGUACACAAAAAUAUGAUAUUUCAAACCGUUUUGGUUAGGCGUUGCAUGUACAUGUAGUUCAAAUUUGAAUUACGGUCAUUAAAUGGUUAGCAAAUCACUUAAAUGUCUUUCGAAGGUCAAAUGACCCCUGAAAUUUACCAAAUUUUCACAUGAUAGUUGCCCGUUAAACGUAGGAAAAAAAUUUAAGGCCGUAAGAGGAAGCUAUCUCCUAUUCGUCAUCAAACAUGCAUUGUUCCCUCUCGGAACCACGAACCUUCUAACGAGUUGCUCCGGUUUGUGAGGGGCGUGUGCCCAAACGUUCGUCAAACAUGCCAAUUUCUUUACCACAUCAUCUUGGUGGCAUGACAUUACAUCAACCAAGGUUUCAUGUGUUUCUGAUCAUUUUCUAAUUUUGUGAAUUAAAAUGCCAUGUCACUCCAUGCAUACGUAUGCAUCACUACAGGAAACAGCUACUUUGCUGUCUGCCAUGGCGGACGGCAAAGGCUCGAAAGGCGGACGGCAAAGACCUUUGCCGUCAGCCGCGGACGGCAAAAGGCUCCGGCAAAGAAGGCUACGGUAAACAGCUGCUUUGCCGUCUGCUUCCUGGCGGCGGACGGCAAAGGCUCUUUGCCGUCUGCGGCGGACGGCAAAGAGGGCGGACGGCAAUAUUUGCGAUGUUAGUCCGUUAAGUGGCUAACGGCAGACCUUUGCCGUCCGCCGCAGACGGCAAAGAGCCUUUGGUCUUUGCCGUCCGCCUUAUGAUGUCAUCUACACGUCACUAGAUGGCAGGUUCUUUGCCGUCUGCCACUGAUGGCAAAGUGCAGGUUCUGUGCCGUCUGCCACGGACGGCAAAGUCUUUGCCGUCUGCCAUUGUAGGCAAACUGACCAAAUGGGUCAGCUCCCAGGAAGCACAGUUGGCUGCCACGUGGCUUCUUUGCCGUCCGCCGCAGACGGCAAAGGCUCUUUGCCGUCGGUGGCAGACGGCAAAGAGGCUGCAUAUUGUCUGUUUUUUUCUGUUUUUUAUUAAAUCCCACAAUUUGCAGCACAUAUCACAUAUAUAAGUUUCAUAUCCAGCACAUAUCCAACACAUAUCUAGCACAUAAGUUUCAUAUCACAUAUCACAUCAGUUUCAUCCAUACACAUUGUUCAUACAUAAGGAAGUUCCAUCCAUACACAUUGUUCCAUCCAUAUAUAUAUUACAAUGCAAAGUGUCAUGAAGAUAGCAAGCUAGAUACAAUGCAAAGUUUCAUCAAAGGAAAAGCAAGCACUCCAUCAUAGCUAGCUAGCUUCCAUCAAGUGAAUGAAAUCUGCAAAAUGGUAAACAAGAAAGUUAGAAAUAGGUGACUAGAACAAGAAGAAGACUAGAACAAGAAGUAUAUGUCAUUUAUGAGCUAACUUAGGUGAAAUGGAUCAUAUAUGAGCUAACUAAGUUGAAAUGGGUUGUUUAUGAGCUAACUUAGUUGAAAUGGAUCAUUUAUGAGCUAACUUAGUUGAAAUGGGUCGUUUAUGAGCUAACUAAGGUGAAGGGCAUCGUUUUUGAGCUAAGUAAGGUGAAAUGGGUCAUUUUGGAGCUAACCUAGUUGAAAUGGAUCGUUUUUGAGCUAACUUAGUUGAAAUGGAUCGUUUUUGAGGUAACUAAGGUGAAAUGGAUCGUUUUUUAGCUCACUUAGGUCAAAUGGAUCGUUUUUGAGCUAACUUAGUUGAAAUGGAUCGUUUUUGAGCUAACUUUGUUGAAAUGGAUCAUUUUUGAGCUAAUUUAGUUGAAAUGGAUCGUUUUUGAGCUAACUUAGGUGAAAUGGAUCAUUUAUGAGCUAAUUUAGUUGAAAUGGAUCUUUUUUGAGCUAACUUAGGUGAAAUGGAUCAUUUAUGAGCUAAUUUAGUUGAAAUGGAUCUUUUUGAGCUAACUUAGGUGAAAUGGGUCGUUUAUGAGCUAACCUAGGUGAAAUGGGUCGUUUAUGAGCUAACCUAGGUGAAAUGGGUCGUUUAUGAGCUAACCUAGGUGAAAUGGGUCGUUUAUGAGUUAACCUAGGUGAAAUGGGUCGUUUAUGAGCUAAUUAUGCAAUUUUUGACAUAAGUAAGCUAAGUACAUAUCGUUUUAGAGCUAACUUAGGUAAAAUGGAUGGUUUAUGAGGUCAGUAAGCUUAUUAAGUCAUUUUGGAGGAAAAGAAGCUAACUCUAGGUCAUUAUGGUAAGCAUAUUGGAGGAAAUAAAGCUAAGUCUAGGUCUUUAUGCAUUUGUUAAGCAAAACACUAGAGAAACUUACCGUGAUCAGGGAGGUGUAGGAGCGGGCUGGCUAGUGCCGGUAGCUGGAGAAGGAUCAUGCGAUGCAUUUNNNNNNNNNNNNNNNNNNNNNNNNNNNNNNNNNNNNNNNNNNNNNNNNNNNNNNNNNNNNNNNNNNNNNNNNNNNNNNNNNNNNNNNNNNNNNNNNNNNNNNNNNNNNNNNNNNNNNNNNNNNNNNNNNNNNNNNNNNNNNNNNNNNNNNNNNNNNNNNNNNNNNNNNNNNNNNNNNNNNNNNNNNNNNNNNNNNNNNNNNNNNNNNNNNNNNNNNNNNNNNNNNNNNNNNNNNNNNNNNNNNNNNNNNNNNNNNNNNNNNNNNNNNNNNNNNNNNNNNNNNNNNNNNNNNNNNNNNNNNNNNNNNNNNNNNNNNNNNNNNNNNNNNNNNNNNNNNNNNNNNNNNNNNNNNNNNNNNNNNNNNNNNNNNNNNNNNNNNNNNNNNNNNNNNNNNNNNNNNNNNNNNNNNNNNNNNNNNNNNNNNNNNNNNNNNNNNNNNNNNNNNNNNNNNNNNNNNNNNNNNNNNNNNNNNNNNNNNNNNNNNNNNNNNNNNNNNNNNNNNNNNNNNNNNNNNNNNNNNNNNNNNNNNNNNNNNNNNNNNNNNNNNNNNNNNNNNNNNNNNNNNNNNNNNNNNNNNNNNNNNNNNNNNNNNNNNNNNNNNNNNNNNNNNNNNNNNNNNNNNNNNNNNNNNGGGGCGGCGGGGCGACGGGGCGGCGGGGGCGACGGGGCGGCGGCGGCGGCGGCGGGGUGGGAGGAGAAGGGCGAGGCGAGGACGAAGUGAGUAACGGGCGGGGGGUACCUGCCGUUAGGCAAGUGCCCUCUUUGCCGUCCGCCAGCCUUUGCCGUCCGCCUUUCUGUCUCUUUGCCGUCCGCUAGCGGACGGCAAAGAGGUGGGCCGUUAGGAUUUUUUCAAACGAGCGGGGGGUGGGGGCCACCACACUCUUUGCCGUCCGCUGGCAGACGGCAAAGACCUGGCAGAUGGCAAAGAGCUUCUUUGCCGUCAGCCUUUUCUUUCCCGUCUGUUUAUGUGUAGCUGAUGGCAAAGAGCUUCUUUGCCGUCAGCUAGCAGACGGCAAAGAUCUGGCAGAUGGCAAAUUAGCUGAUUCCAGUAGUGCAUGUGUAUAUGUCAUGAGACCAAUAUGUUUGAAAAUUCCUUCUAAUUUACUGCACAUGGAAUUAACUCGCACACAAGUACACAGAUAUGAUUUUUCAAACUGUUUUGGUUAGGCGUUGCAUGUAGAUGUAGUUCAAAUUUGAAUUACGGUCAUUAAAUGGUUAGAAACUCACUUAAAUGUCUUUAAAAGGUCAAAUGACCCCUAGAAUUUUCCAAAAUUUCACAUUACAGUUGUAGUAGUGCACGUUAGACGGAGAAAAAAUUUGAAGGCCGUAAGAGGAAGCUAUCUCCCGUUCGUCAUCAAACAUGCAUUGUUCCCUCUCGGAACCACGAACCUUCUAGCGAGUUGCUCCGGUUUGUGAGGGGCGUGUGUCCAAACUUUUGUCAAACAUGCCAAUUUCUUUACCACAUCAUCUUGGUGGUAUGACAUUACAUCAACCAAGGUUUCAUGUGUUUCUGAUUUUUUUUGGAAUUAAAAUGCCAUGCCACUCCAUGCAUACGUAUUGAUGCAUAUGUGUCCAUGUCAUGAUACAAAUAUGUUUGAAAAUUCCUUCUAGUUUACUGCACAUGGAAUUAACUCAUACACAAGUUCACAAAUAUGAUUUUUCAAACCGUUUUGGUUAGCCGUUGCAUGUAGAUGUAGAUCAAAUUUGAAUUACGGUCAUUAAAUGGCUAGAAAAUCACUUAAAUGUCUUUAAAAGGUCAAAUGACCCCUAGAAUUUUCAAAAAUUUCACAUUACAGUUGUAGUAGUGCACGUUAGACGUAGAAAAAAAUUGAAGGCCGUAAGAGGAAGCUAUCUCCUGUUCGUCAUCAAACAUGCAUUGUUCCCUCUCGAAACCACGAGCCUUCUAGUGACUUGCUCCGGUUUGUGAGGGGUGUGUGUCCAAACUUUGGUCAAACAUGCCAAUUUUUUACCACAUCAUCUUGGUGGCAUGACAUUACAUCAACCAAGGUUUCAUGUGUUUCUAACUAUCUUUUUGAAAUUAAAAUGCCAUGUCACUCCAUGCUUAAUUGUGUCAUAGCCGUUAGACCAAUAUGUUUGAAAAUUCCUUCCAAUUUACUGCACAUGGAAUUAAAUCGCACACAAGUACACGAAAUAUGAGUUUUCAAACCGUUAUGGUUAGCUGUUGCAUGUACAUGUAGUUCAAAUUUCAAUUACGGUCAUUAAAUGGCUAGAAAAUCACUUAAAUGUCUUAGAAGGUCAAAUGACCCCUGAAAUUUUCCAAAAUUUGACAUGACAGUUGUAUUACUACUACAAAAUUUCUCGUUCAUUUAAAACACCAUCCAUUGGCACUUUAUUCCAAAUUCGUCUUUCACAGCUAAUAAAAAAAUAUCUACAACAUCACACACAGUUGUUUUCUAGGAACCGUUUGCGAUGAAAAUAUCUGGGUCUAUUUAAAUCUCCCUCCUUAAGCUUCGCCGGCUCGUCUGCUCUAGUACCGGUAACACCUGAAUCCACGAAUCCUGAUCCCCAUUCCCGCACCCUCUUUGAAGGCUCGUACGAUGGUCGCUUCCCCCCCGAGCGCCGCCGCCUGCACCGAGAGUGCGGCCGCCUACGCCGAGAGUGCCGCCGCAUCCACAUUGAGCGCGGCCGCUUCCGCCGAGAGGGCGUCUGCGACAGCCGACAGGGCAGCAGCAGCAGCCGAGACGGCUGCAGCUGCUGCUGCGACGGCGGCUGCAAACGCCGAGAGCGCUCGAGCUACCGUCCGUGCAGCUGAUGUCGCCCUGGCCCGGGUCGAGGCCAUCCACGGCAAGAUCGAUGAUGCACACGCCAAGAUAUUCCAGGCAACCUCGGACUCCAGCAUGCAACCCACAUCUGAAAAGGCGGUGGUGGCCAUGGAGCACCUGCUUCCUCAUGAGGUCACCGAGCGGGAGCUAGAGAUGCAGGAGGCGGCGGAGAUCGAGGAGCGCCGGGAGGAGGAGUUGCGCGGGGCAGAGGUCGAGGUAGAGAAGAGUUUGUCCGUCGAGGAAUCGGCGGUGGAGUACCAACGCGAGCUCUGGCGCAGCCACUACUACGAGUACUACAACCUUGAGGGCGGCGCCGAGGACGAGGACGAGGAUGAGGACGCGGUCGACUUCAGCAGGGGGGCACGGAGUCCACCAAUGGCGGCAUGUCGCCAGGACAAGUCAUCGAUGUCUCAUCUCACACCGGCGAUGCAUAGGCCAGCGCGGUGGUGGAUUUUUAAUUAUGCAUACUUAGGGUUUGUUUUUAAUGCUGGUCUUUUGUUAGAGCAAUGUUUAGGUCAACUGGCUCUGUGUAAUUACUAAAAUAGCUCGAUUCAGUAAGUGCGGUAUGUCUGUUGUACACUCUUUUGUGUGCCCAAAUUAGCAAGCGAUGUUAAAUUAUGCAAUGACGUACCCGGGGAAAUUUCCACCAAAAUUUGAAUUAUCAAACUCAUCCCAUGCGCGUAAAGCAGAAGAAUCGUUUGCGAUGCACACAAUUGUUCAAAGUGAAUGGUCCAGCGGCACAGCGCGCGUUCAAAGUGAAUGUGCCCAUGCCUUGAGACCAAAAUUUGAAUUAUCAAACUCAUCCCAUGCGCAUAAAGCAGAAGAAUCGUUUGCGAUGCACACAAUCGUUCAAAGUGAAUGGUCCGGCGGCACCGCGCGCAAAGUUUCCCUCCACAUUUCCAAAAUUUUGGCCUAUCGCCAAAAUAUCCACCCCUGCCCCCCUCCCCCACCCCCUUUUCUCCCUGACAACAAGUCACAUUUCCCCUGUUUCCUCCUUCCUUCCUUCCUUGCUAAGCUAUAGCCGCUUCCUCGCUCUCGCCGUCUCGCAUCCUACCGCCGGGGUCGCCAUGGUCUUCUUCAAAGACAUCUCCAGCGGUUCCUCCUCCGGCGACUACUCCUUCACCACCCGGGUAUGCCUCUCUUCUCUCUCUCGGGCUAUGACUUGGAAUGAAGGAUUUUUACCCGGAGGUCGAUUUGAGUUGUUUCUUCCUCUUGUAGCUCCCUAAGACCAUCAGUGGCAACGAAUGGAGCGGGGUGGCUGAAGAUCUAUCUGCUCGUUGUCACCAUCAAUCUCCAUGCGUGAAGCUAGUUGCGUUUGAUUCUGUGGACAGUGGGAUGAAGUUUCUGGCAUGUGCAGAGAAGGUUAGACCCUCUUUCGUUGUUACAUAUCAUUUGUUAGAUGUGAUUCAGACACUGUCACGGUCCCAACCCAUUCACAGUUUGUACCUAGUAUCUUAAAUUGUUGCCAUCUCAUCAGCGGUGCCAUUAGAAAAUUAUUUGGCACCGCUUCAGCAGUUUGUGCAGCCAACUUUGGUCCACACAUCCGAGUAGCCACGCAGUAAAAUACUAAAUCUUUAUGGCACGAAGGAACUGGGCAUCGGAGCAACUACGUGCUCCGGAGUCCGGGUCCCUGAUUUUUUUCCCGCUGCAUCGGCUCGCCAGUGCAGGGCACCGGUGCGAGAUGUAGCAACAGUUGUCUUUACCCCAGUUUUGGCAUAUAUAUAUAGUGGACGACCUUAGUGCUAUUAGUUCUAUGUUACUAAAUUUGUGCAUGUACACACCUGUUAGUAUCAAUUUGUUGUCAUCCAAACACUGUCGCUAUGUUAUUGCAGUUAUAUUUACCUUCCUCAUAAAAUGUUCAAUUUGUUAUUUAUUGUACAUGAGUAAGAACUUGUAGCAUCGUUGUAGUUAAUUAUAGCUUCGGAUGUUCCAGAAUUUGGUUGUUGUCUCAGUACCAAUUAUUUCAUUUGCACAUUGAUCUUUUUGAGAAGAUGUGUCAUAAUUAACAUGUUUCUUUAGUUUUUCAAAAUAAGCAUUGGUGAUUUUCUAUGUUGCUAUAAACCCAUUUCCCCUACAAUUGUUACUGAUCUAGUUUUAAAUAUUAUAGGAUGAAGGGAAGUGUUCUUACUUGGAGUGGGUUGAUCAAGAGUGGCCACAGUCUUUGAAGAUGUGCUUAACGAAGCUCUGGAGCAUGUAUGAGGAAGACAACACACGUAGGCUUAGAGAAAGCCUUGUCAACGCUGAAGCAUAUUUCAAGAUGCGGGAUAAAAAGUUGAAGGUGGAAAAUGAGCUCAGAUUUUUUAAAUCGACUUUGCUAAGGUGGUGUUGGCGAAGGAGGAGGCACUUUCCCAGUUGGCCCGUGCAAAACGGGUUCUUACUGAACUGAAAGCAGAGGUGGAUAAGACGAGCCUGGAUGAUCUCGAUUAGGGAAAUGAAUAUAUUGUUCUUAUGAAGUUGAACUAGCUAUAUGUUGUACUGUGUUGUUUUCAUGUAGCUGCCGUAUUGUGAUGUUAUAAUAUAUUUAUGUGCCUGAUAUGAAAUUGGCAGACAGUUGUUCGAUAUGAAAUGUGAAUUUACGUAAUACUGGAAUUAUUAAUUGUAAACUAAUAAACCUGCUAAAUGUGUCAUGGACCUUUGCAAACGUUUCUAGCAAUAAAAGCGCUUGCGAUGGGUAGCUCAAUGCCACACAGUUUUCUUCAUCAAAUCGUGUGUGAUAUAGUUGAUAAAAGCAAAUAGUUAACCAAGGAAGACCGUGUGUGAUAGUUACACCUUUCACACACGAGCCUACACAUAAAACUGUGUGGGAUGUACGUCCGAACGGAAACGUUUUCCCUGGAUUGACUGUGUUGGAUGUACAUAAGAAUGGAAACGUAUUCCUUGGAUUGACUGUGUGUGAUAUACAUACGAACGGAAAUGUUUUUCUGGGAUUCACCGUGUGGGAUAUACAUACCUAUGGAAAUGAUUUUCUCGGAUUACCGUGUGGGAUGUACAUACCUACGGAAAUGAUUUUCUUGGAUUACCGUGUGGGAUGUACAUACCUACGGAAAUGAUUGGGUUUCGAUGCCUCGCCCGAUCGCACACGGCCCCAGCCUGGGUCCCAGGAGGGCCUAUUCCCGAAGAGUUUUGGGUCAUGUGGGAAGGACACCCUAUCGCACACACUCACUUGCCGAUGGUUCCAAAUGCCAUCGCGGAAAGGGGUUAAAAGCCGUUUGUUUAGGACCGACGCGCACCAGUGCUUCUUCUUCCUUGACCUUUCCCCUAGAUGGGAGAAGGGUUUCCCCUCUGGUCCAUGGCCUCCAUGGCGGCGGAGGGGCGGGAGCCCCUCUGAGAUUGGAUAUCUCUCUCUGUUUCCUUCUGUUUCUGUGCUCCCAGAUUCUGGCCUUUCACCGGUUCUUGAAUUCCCGGAGAUCCAUAACUCCGAUUGGGAUGAAAUUUUAACAUGAUUUUUAUCUGGAUAUUAGCUUUCUUGCAGCGAAAGAAGGGCACCAACCACAUUACGGGGUGACCACAAGGGUCCAGGGCGCGCCCAACCCCCGGAGGCGCGCCCCCUGCCUUGUGGCCCCCUCGGUCUUCGUCUCGCGUUGAUUCCAAUUCCCAAAAUUCACAUAUAUUCCAAAAAAAAUCUCUGUAAGUUUUUAUCACCUUUGGAGUCUGUUUGAUAUGGAUUCUUUGCGAAACAACAAACAUGCAACAAACAGGAACUGACACUAGGCACUAAAUCAAUAUGUUAGUUUAAGAAAAUAGUAUAAAAAGUUUCCAAAAGGAUGUAAAAGUUGUAGAAUAUUGGCAUGGAACAAUCAAAAAUUAUAGAUGCGUCGGAGACGUAUCAGCAUCCCCAAGCUUAAUUCUUGCUCGUCCUCGAGUAGGUAAAUGAUAAAAAAGAUAUUUUUUUAUGUGGAAUGCUAUCUAGCAUAAUCUUGACCAUAUGAUCUAAUCAUGGCAUGAAUAUUAAUACACGAGUGAUUCAAAGCAAUAGUCUAUCAUUUGACAUAAAUACAAUAAUACUUCAAGCAUACUAAUAAAGCAAUCAUGUCUUCUCAACAUAAUAUGGCCAAAGAAAGUUAUCCCUACAAAAUCAUAUAGUCUGGCUAUGCUCCAUCUUCACCACACAAAGUAUUUCAUCAUGCACAACCCCGAUGACAAUCCAAGCAAUUGUUUCAUACUUUUAGUGUUCUCAAGCCUUUUCAAUUUUCACGCCAUACAUGAGCGUGAGCCAUGGAUAUAGCACUAUAGGUGGAAUAGAAUAUGAUGGUGGAGGUUGUGUGGAGAAGACAAAAAGGGAGGAAGUCUCACAUCGACGCGGCUAAUCAAUGGGUUAUGGAGAUGCCCAUCAAUUAAUGUCAAUGCGAGGAGUAGGGAUUGCCAUGCAACGGAUGCACUAGAGCUAUAAGUGUAUGAAAGCUCACAAAUGAAACUAAGUGGGUGCGCAUCCAGCUUGCUUGCUCAUGAAGACCUUGGGCAUUUGAGGAAACCCAUCAUCGGAAUAUACAAGCCAAGUUCUAUAAUGAAAAUUCCCACUAGUAUAUGAAAGUGAUAACUCAAGAGACUCUCUAUAUGAAGAACAUGGUGCUACUCUGAAGCACAAGUGUGGUAAAAGGAUAGUAGCAUUGCCCCUUCUCUCUUUUUCUCUCAUUUUUUCCUUUUUUAUUUUUUUCUCUCUUUUUUGGCUCUCCUUUUUUUUACUCCCUUUUUUCGUCCGGAGUCUCAUCCCGACUUGUGGGGGAAUCUUAGUCUCCAUCAUCCUUUCCUCACCGGGGCAAUGCUCUAAUAAUGAUGAUCAUCACACUUUUAUUUACUUACAACUCGAUAUUACAACUCAAUAUCUAGAACAAAGUAUGACUAUAUGAAUGCCUCUGGCAGUAUACCAGGAUGUGCAAUGAUCUAGCAUAGCAAAAGAUAUCAAAAACCGGACAAGCCAUGAAAAUAUCAUGCUAGCUAUCUUACGAUCAUGCAAAGCAAUAUGACAAUGAAUGCUCAAGUCAUGUAUAUGAUGAUGAUGGAAGUUGCAUGGAAAUAUAUCUCGGAAUGGCUAUGGAAAUGCCAUGAUAGGUAGGUAUGGUGGCUGUUUUGAGGAAGAUAUAAGGAGGCUUAUGUGUGACAGAGCAUAUCAUAUCACGGGGUUUGGAUGCACCGGCGAAGUUUGUUGGGGAACGCAGUAUUUCAAAAAUUUUACCUACGAUCACGCAAGACCUAUCUAGGAGAUGCAUAGCAAUGAGAUGGGAGAGUGUGUCCACGUACCCUCGUAGACCGAAAGCGGAAGCGUUUAGUAACGCGGUUGAUGUAGUCAAACGUCUUCACGAUCCAACCGAUCCAAGUACCAAACGUACGGCACCUCUGUGUUCAGCACACGUUCAGCACGAUGACGUCCCUCGAGCUCUUGAUCCAGUUGAGGACGAGGGAGAGUUCUGUCAGCACAAUGGCGUGGCGAUGGUGAUGAUGAAGUUACCGGCGCAGGGCUUCGCCUAAGCACUACGACGAUAUCACCGAGGUGGUAAACUGUGGAGGGGGGCACCGCACACGGCUAAGAGAUUGUCUGUUGUGCUUUGGGGUGCCCCCUGCCCCCAUAUAUAAAUGAGGGAGGAGGAGGCCGGCGGCCAGGGAGGAGGCGCGCCAGGGGGGUCCUACUAGGACUCCAAACCUAGUAGGAAUCGCGCCCCCCUCCCUGAUCCAAGAGGGGGAAGGAGGGAAGGGGAGGGCGAGGGGAAGGAAGGGGGGCCGCACCCCCUCCCCUUAGUCCAAUUCGGACUGCCCUUGGGGGGCGCCACCUUGUGGUCUUCCCUCUCCUUUUCCCUUAUGGCCCAUUAAGGCCCAUAACUUCCCCGGGGGGUUCCGGUAACCCCUCGGUUCCUCGAUAAAUAUCUGAAACGUCCCGAAACCAUUCCGGUGUCCGAAUACCUUCGUCCAAUAUAUCAAUCUUUACCUCUCGACCAUUUCGAGACUCCUCGUCAUGUCCGUGAUCUCAUCUCGUUAAUACAAUUCUAGCAUGAAUAAUAAACAUUUAUCAUGAUAUAAGGAAAUAUAAAUAACAACUUUAUUAUUGCCUCUAGGGCAUAUUUCCUUCAAAGUUUGCACUAACUCUCGAGGUGAGAAAGGGCAAUGCACGGUACCGAAGAGGCUAGCAAUAAUGGGAGGGUGAGAGUGCGUAUAAUCCAUGGACUCAACAUUAGUCAUGAAGAACUCACAUACUUAUUGCAAAAAUCUAUUAGCUAUCGAAACAAAGUACUACACACAUGCUCCUAGGGGGUAGAUUGGUAGGAAAAGACCAUCGCUUGUCCCCGACCGCCACUCAUAAGGAAGAAAAUCAAAAAAUAAAUCAUGCUCCAACUUCGUCACAUAAUGGUUCUCCAUACGUGCAUGCUUCGGGAAUCACAAACCUUAACAGAAGUAUUUCUACCAGUCAACAAUUACUCACUAGCAUGACUCUAAUAUCACCAUCUUUAUAUUGCAAAACUAUUGCAAGGAAUCAAACAUAUCAUAUUCUGUGAUCUACAAGUUUUAUGUAGGAUUUUAUGACUAACCAUGUGAAUGACCAAUUCCUGAUGACCCUCUAAAUAGAUAUAAGUGAAGCAAGAGAGUUCAAUUCUUUCUACAAAAGAUAUGCCCACGCUCUAACAAAUAUAAGUGAAGCAAAAGAGCAUUCUACAAAUGGCGGUUUUCUAUGUGUAGGGAAACAGGCAAUCCAAAGACUACAAAAAAAAGACACAUCCAUGACAUUUUGGGCCGAACGAAAAAAAAUUCUGUCAUACUUAUGACACUUCUAUGACAAUAAUUGUGACAAACACGGUAUCAUCAUAGAUGUGGUGGGGUCCUACUUCUAUGACAAAAAAUCAUGACAGAAAAUGGGGUUUUCGUCCUGGGCGGGCCGGAGACGCAGUUGGAUGACAUUCUUUGGGCCGUCCAUGGUGGAAAAAACCGUGGUAGAAGCGAGGGCGAGGAAAAUAUCGGGGUGUUCCCGGUUAUGAUGGGUGGUCGGGGCCGAGCGAUGCGCGUUUCUCUCGUACACGCACGCGCGUGGGUGCGAGGCGUUGGGCUCUAACUGAACCUGAGCGAGGCAUUGGGAUCUAACUGAACCCGAGCGAUUGCACUGCAGGCUACACGUCACUGAACCCGAGCGAUCGAUCGAUGGCUGUUAACUGAACCUGAUCGAGCGAUUCCUUCGCUACUGCUGCUAACUGAAGCCGAUCGAUGCUGCCUCUGGAUGAACAGUGAGCGUUACAGGGGGUUUGGAUGAACAGUUCCCGGUGGGGGUGGAUGAACAGGACCCCGUGGCGUGCCUCUGGAUGAACAGUGAGCGUUGCUGGGGGGGUUUGGAUGAACAAUUCCCGGUGGGGGUGGAUGAACAGGACCCUGAUCAUUCGAGCCGGUUGGGGCUGGAUGAACAGGGCCGCGUGGAGGACAGGAUGAACAGGACCACCCUGUGGAGGGCAGGAUGAACAGUAGACGGUGGAGGGCUGGAUGAACAGUAGCCCGUGGAGGGGUGGUUGAAUAGGAGCCCGUGGAGAGGGCUGGUUAAACAGUAGCUGGUGGAGUAGCGCGCGAUGGAGGCUGGAUGAACAGGAGCCCGUGGAUGAACAGUCGCAGGUGGAGGCUGGAGGAGGUCGACGGUCGAUGAACAGUAGCCCGUGGAGGCUGGAGGGGGUCGACGAUGGAGAUGAACAGUAGCCCGUGGAGGCUAGAGGGGGUCGACGGUGGAGAUGAACAGUAUCCCAUGGAGUCCCGUUUUGUGGUACGCCACACCCCUCCCGAUGAACAGGACCCCCGUUUCGACCGUAGUGCUCCAACACAAGUCCGUUUCCUCUGUUUUGCGGUACGCCACACCCCUCCCGAUCAACAGGACCCCCGUUUCGACCAUAGGAGGUCUGUUUCCUCUGUUUUGCGGUAGACCAGACCCCUCCCGAUGAACAGGAUCCCGUUUCGAACGUGGCCAUUCGAACACAAGGCCGUUUCCUCCGUUCUGCGGUACGCCAGGCCUCGUUUCCAUCGGCUGUUCCGUCCAAGCCCUCCCGAUGAACAUGACGACGACGCAGUUUCUCCGUUCCGACCCAGCCGGUCGACUCCCCAUGAACACGACGACGACGCAGUUUCUCCAAUCCGACCCAGCCAUGUACACGAGCCCUGGCCGUACGUAUGCGCGAGUAGGCGUUCGAGACCCUGCCCGUAUGUACGUACGUGGCCGUAUUUUCUUUCUUGCACACUGGCCGCUAUACGUACGUGUACAAGCUACGUGUGUGCCUCUACUACGACACGUGCGCGCCUCUACAUCGACCAGUAUGUACGUACACGUUCGCGACCAGAAUGACAACGCUACGUACGCUUCGACCAGGUGGGUCCCGACUGUCAGGCACUUCCUUGCGUGCGAAGAUGUAGCUGGUGUGUCCCAGCAGUCAGGGGGGCGGAUAUUUUUUUUUGCCCGGACGCACUUCCUUGCGUGCGAAGAUGUAGCUGGUGGGUCCUAGCAGUCAGGGGGAAACGUUUUUUUCACGAAAUACGGUGGCCCGUCCGGUGGGUCCCCGCUGUCAGGUGGAGGAAUAAUUAUUUUGCGUGUAAUAAGGAGGCACUUCCUUGCUGCGGCCAUGGACCCAGCUGUCAGCCUCUCCACGUAUAGUACACGUCCGAUGGAAGCCGUUCCUUGACCACGUUGACCACGCCGCGCCGAGAGCACCAGGGCAGUGGACGACGGCGAGGCCUAGGAAGGGGACAACGCAAAGCCAGGGAAGACGCGGCAGUGGAAGCCCGCGUGGGAGGAGUACGAGGGUUCACUGGUUCGGCUGCGGUGUGAGGCUGCCGUCGCCGUAGGGCCUGGCCAGCGGUGGGAAUAGUAGGGGCGGUGAGGUCUCCGCGGCAGCACAGCCGGCCAUGGGAGGCAGGAGCAUGCGGCACAACCGGCGCUACUUUGGGUGGCUGGAGCAAGAAGACCAGAGGUUGAAGAAGCACCACGGCCGUUGGAUGGACAUCGUAUGGUCAAUGGAGCUAGAAUCGUUCAUAUUGACUAAGUUGACAAAGCACUCCGUCCCCGUCAACUUAGUAGGCCCACAAGUCAGCCACCCACCAAGGUGGGUCCCAACUAGCAGGGGGAGUAUUCAUUUUUUUGUGCGUAAUAAGGAGGCACUUCCGGUGGGUCCGAGCUGACAUCGGGGGGAACUUUUUUUCGUGAAAUACGAUGACCCGUCCGGUGGGUCCCAGCAGUCAGGGGGGAAACAUUUUUUUUCGCAAAAUACGGUGGCCCGUCUGGUGGGUCCCUGCUGUUAGGUGGAGGCAUCAUUAUUUUCUGUGUAAUAAGGAGGCACUUCCUUGCUGCAGCUGUGGACCCAGCUGUCAGCCUCUCCACGUAUAGUACACUUCCGAUGGAAGUCGUUCCUUGACCACGUUGACCACGCCGCGUUCCGUUGCAUGCAUGCAUCCAUGGGCGUGGUGCGUCCCCACUGUCAGCCUCUCACGUACAGUCAUGUUUCGAUGACUCUCGGUUGUUGACCACGUUGACCACACCGUGCCGAGCGCACCAAAGGCCGGUGGACGACGGCGAGGCCCCAGACUGGAACGACCCAGAGAUGGGGAAGACGGGGCAGUGGAGUCGCAGAUGGAGAGGAGUGGGAAACUUGACUGGUUUGGGUGCACGAAAGCACAGCCGCGGUGCCGCCCACGAGAGACAGGAGCAAGAACAGAGGUUGAAGAAAGAGCACGGCUAUUGGAUUAACAUCCAACGGUCCAGCUGCUAGAAUCAUUUGUUGGUUAAGUUGACAAAGCCCUGCAUACACGUCCGCUUAGUAGGCCCACAAGUCAGCAACCAAAUCUGACGGGUCCCAGCUGUCAACGGGAGGAAUAAUUUUUUUCGCAUAACAAGGAGGCACUUCCUUCCGUGCGAAGAUACAGCCGGUGGGUCCCAGCUGUCAGGUGGAGGAAACAUUUUUUCAGCUUAAUAAGGAGGAACUUUCCUUGCGUGCGACCAUGGACCUCGUGGGUCCCAGCCGUCAGGCUCUCCAUGUACAGUCCUCUUCCGAUGACUCUCGUUUGUUGACCACGCCGCACCGAGCGCAGCGAGGCGGUGGACGGCGGCGAGGCCCCGGACGGGAACAACUCGGAGAUGGGAAGAUGCGGCAGUGGAGUCGCAGAUUGAGUGGAGGAGAAGGGUUAUAACUGGUUCUGGUGCGGCGUGGGGCUGUAGUCGGUGGAGAAUAACAGGAGGUGUGGAGGGGUGGAGGGAUAGCCUGGCCGGCGGUGGGGUAGCGCUUCGCAGCGAUGCGUGCUAAGCAGAGCUGCUAGCCGCUGGAGGCCGGACCAGGCGGUCCCGGCGACGCUGGAGGAAGAAGAGGAGAGAUUGAAGGUGCAUGCCGACCAGGUUGACAACGCAGGGCGUAGGCUUCGACCUAUUGGCCCACAUGUCAGCCUGCAAAAAUGUGGCAUAUAUUUAACCCAUGUUUUGUAGAAUGUACAGUCCAUUUGCUGGGCUGGGUGAACAAAUAAUUUCGCGUCAAUGUGGCCCAUUUAUAUUAUCUAAGAAAUCCCAGCCCAUUUGCACUUCCUUCAAAUACACGAAUUAGCUGGGCUCGUUAUAUAUAUAAUGUUAUGCUAGAAGGAGCAAUAAAUAUCAAAAAUAAACCGGAGAGGCACAUUUUUUAUAUACAUAAUUAACAAAUUAGCGAGUUAUUGCUCAAAAUAAAAAUGAGCGCGUUAUUAUUACAUUGGUCCUCAAAAUCUUCGCAAGCUUUUGUACACAAUCACAAGGAUUUUCCUUGCCUAUGAGUCAAAAACAACCAGGAUUUUCCUUGCCAACUUCUGUUAAACAUUUACUUUUAUAAGUUAAUAACACGUGGGAUGUUUUCAUAAUGUAUAUAUAAGUCUUUAUAAAAUAUACGAUAAUAGUAAUAAUAUAAAUAUAUAUAAUGUGGUUAAAAAAAUACAUUGGGCUGCCGAUCUUUAAGAAAAAGCCCAUAGGCCGGUAUGGACCUCAAAAAAUAAGUUGAAACCACUGUCACCCGUAUGUCAUGGGCUACGCAUGUUAAAAUACAAAACCUAGGCCUAGCUGAUACUUGUUCGCCUCUAGAAAAAAAUGAUACCAGAUCCCCGAGCAAACUGGAUUAUAGAGGGGGCCGGCGGCACGACGGAAGAAGCACAUCAGGAGAGAUUUUUUUUCUUCAGUGGAUGGCUCUCGAUGGCGUUUUUUUUACUUGCCUAUGCACCAUACAACUUAUAUUUUUAGCCUCCCAGUCCGUGGUGGACCAGCAGACCAUUUGCUGGGCGGGCCAACCUACAUAAACCAGCACUCGAUUUUUCAUCAAGCCCCAAAAACAAUGCAGUACUAUGUUUGUUUUGAGGCCGAAAACAUUACGGCAGGGGUUGAGCGGGGGAGGGGGCAAGACAGAGCAAAAAGAUUUAAAAGAGCUGAUGCGUCGUUGCUACCCUAACAAAGCAGGUGCAAUUCUUCUCGGGAAGAAGGUGUGCCAUUGACACCCACACGUCACAUACCCCACAGUAGGCAUACUAACAAGUUCACACACAAGCACAACAGAAAAGGUAAACAUUCGUAUCAAACUCAGGUUCACAGGACACGUUCAUAUUCAUAGCCAACAUUCACUAUCAACAACUCAAAAGAUUCAUAUAUAAACAAGUUUAGCAUGUCUAUGGAUCCAAAUGAUUGAUAUAUCACACAACAAUAUUCAUAGAUAAUUCACAAAAAGAUUCAGAUAUACACAUGUUCAGUAUGUUUAUGCAUCCAAAUGAUUGAGAUCACAGCCAAUAUGAUCCAUGGACGAACUUUAAUUACCUAGGGUACAGACUGGUAAAUGAUGUUCAGUCGGAGGUACUUCUUGCUAAAAUUAAUGCUUCUACGAGUAAACUUUCGAGUACAUAAGAGGCAGCACAGACAAUCUGAACUUUCCUUGUAGGUUUAUCCUCAAAUAGUGGCCUCGUGCCGAUGGAGGUUUGAGCAACUUGGCCACUUCUUUCCUCCAACUAGUUUACUGGCUCAUCUUGGUCCUGUAUCUCGCCAAAAUUCUACAUUGCAGACGAGAGAGGAGGCAGUUGAGAAAAUGAACCACCCAAAUUUUUUGUGCAGUUCAACUGAAAUGGACCAUCCUUGGCGUGCAGACUGAUUAAGUGCCAGAUGAAUGUACGCGUCAACCAACUUGUCUGGAAUCUUUAGACUCCUUGCCAUAGAGUUCGCUACCAUAUGUGCAGAUAACCAAAAGGCACAAGUUAGGACCAAAGACUGGACUGCGUUUUUCUGGGCUAUGCGCCAAGCAAUAUUUUUGGCGUUCACUCUCCUAAUACUUGGAGUUUGAAAAUUGGUUGACGCCGGUUGAUACUCGAAUGAAUAUAGGCACUUCUUCUUGUCAACAUCGAUGCUUGUCUAAGUGAACUUUGGAGUACAUAGCAGCAGCAUAAGUACCUGUCCAUCUGAUCUUUUUGUGCAGUUCUACUAAAAUCACCCAAUGUAAUGAUUUGCCUGCGAGUUCAGGCUCCAAGUUACUCCUUUAUGAAAUCGGCAAACAGUAGCACACUACCAAAUUACCAAUACAUAUGAGAAGCACAAUAAUCAGGAUAAAGACCAGUACCAACCUGUGUGAGGUAGCAUAUCAAUUACUAUUUCCUUUGACUGGAAGCCGAGAUAAGCCAAGCGACUGACAGCAAAGGAAGAAUGCAAGCCGAGAUUAGUGACUAACAGGAAAGGAAGGAAGCUGUCGAGGCAAUGAAGCACCCAAAGUUUUUGUGCAGUUCCACCAAAAUCGAGCAUCCCUGUUGGCACAUAUAUUGAGAGAGUGAUAUUACUGUAAUAGUGGGACUAGUUGAUGAAACAUACACUAACAAAUAGAAGCACCCUCAUUAUCUUAAUGGGUAAAUUUAGCAUUCCCUCCCUGCUCCACCACAUGAUUCACCUCAUAGACAAACAUACACACGUACAUGAUUCAGCAUAGGGUGCUACUAAAGAUUUGUUUAACUCCGAUAGGAAAAUUAGGCAGCAAUAAAUUAGUGGUACUUAAGUACUCCUAAUUAAUUAAGUGAGAUAGCAGAAGCGGAAGGGCCCCCUGGAGGAUCGUCUCACAUGUAAGGUAGUCGUUGCCGGAGCCUUUUGAUGGCCUCGACUGAGGCCUCUGGCUUCAGCAAGAUCGCCUUGGCACUGUUUACUCUUCUUCUUCUUCCUCUUCAUGCUCUGUUUCUCAGUCUCCUCACCAGUUGGUGAAACCAAGUACAUGAUUGGCCUUCUAUUUCAGAAUUGGUUUUGUCAGUGAGGGAGUACAAGUGUACUAGUAAAAAAUAGCAUUAUUUUCUCAUGGCAAUCGCAAAAUACAGAUGAACACAUGCAUUAAAUAUCAUUCUUACCUAAAGGAAGGUUAUGGUGCCAAUAUGGAUGAUGAGGAUUGGAACACAGAUCUCCCUUUGUGCAGUUCCACCGAAAUGAACCAACUGUUCCAUUCUGACAUUCCAGUUAAACAACACAAAAGGCACUUCUUUUAAGAAGAGUUUUGUGCAGUGCACCAAAAGGUCACAACAGCAACCACGUGAAAUGGAUAUCCCUGUUUGCACGAAAAGCUACAGAGGAAACAGUCAGAGUCUCAAACAGUUACAGGCAAAAACAUUUGGCUAAACUUGUCAUGGCUUAUAACAGUGGCAUGGCUUCAUUUUUACCAGGGGCAUUAGAUUAAGAACAACUAAAUAUUUGGUAUAAGGGCAUGGGACAGUGGGUGCACCAGCAGUCCAGCACCAUGUACCUAAACAGGGGCAUAAAGUGGUGAUUCAUAGUUUGUUGCCCCGAGAAACAAACAUCCAAGAAACAUAUCUGGGUUCGUCCCAUUUUUGUUCACUCUAGCCACCUACUCCUAUGUGUGGAUAGCAAAUCUAGUCCUGGUCAUACCACUGUGUACAACGUUACCCCUAUAUUUCCCUUUUCGACCAAGAGACCGGUUGGAUGACCAGUCUGUACUACUUUCACCCCCUUUCCUUCCUGUUUGUACCAAGUCCGAUGUACUACAUACUAAAUUCCCCCACCCCCACUUUAUUUCUUUUUUUGAACCAAGUACAAGAUUCGACUCCACGAAGUAGCUUUACCUCUAACAAUAGAAGAAAAAAAUAGGUGACAUUCGACCAUUCGAUCGAGAGGGGCUGAGAGGUAGAAAAUGAUGCACAUGCAGCGACGUAGCGAGCUGGGGAAGUAGAGCUAAGGCGGUUUCGAAGGAAGAUAUACCCGAAGGUCGUCGGGAUGUGGAUAGGUGGGCGGCGGGAGGCCGGAUCCACCCACACUAGGGCAACAACGAAGGGACCGGAGGACCUCUCACGCCGGUUCUCAGCCAGAGAUAACGGUGCGGCCGGCACUGGGUCUCCUCCCUCGCUGUUGACGACGGCCUAAACGCUACCCCUCCUCCCCUUCACCGGCGGAGGGGGAUACGUCCGGAUCUGUAACCAGCGGUGAGGAUAGAAAGACAGUGUUUUUUGAAGGGAGAAAGACAGUGUUACCACCCUAUCUUGUUUAGAUCUGGAGAGGAUUAGAGUGUGUGAAUAGAGCAACCCUAGCAAGCAAGCGCGGAGGCUCCGGCCUAUAUAUACGUAGUGGGGUAGUUUUCCUUUUUCACUCCAUCAAAACAAUCGUUUAAAAUUGUGUACUACGUGCCAGGUCGCCGUUUUUUUAGUUGUUGAUUGUUUUUUGAGAUAGCUACCCGCUUGUUCCAAGUGGUGUUACGGUGUGCUAGGUCGCACUUUUUUUGAGGGUGCCAGGUCGCACUUUGUAUCGUUCAAGUCUGGUACAAGUCCCUCCAUUAAAUGAACAACCACCCCCUCGUAAAAAUUGUGAACAAGCCCACGGCUAAAAUUAUCGGAAACGUGGGUUGCCCCAACAUGCAUUAUUAUUUAUAUUUUCUACUCCCUCCGUUCCUAAAUAUAAGUCUUUUUUAUUAGCCACACCUAAGACAAGAUUUUUUUUAUUAGCAGUGAACCCCACAUGUCAUAGACACAAAAAGUGUGGCAAGAUUCCCUUAGGCAAGCCAAAGUGUGUCUAACAAUUUGAGCAACUCAAGUUAGGCAAGUGUGGCAAGUGUGGGAAAAUUAAUGUGGCAACAUAAGACAAACAUAGUCACAAUCCAAACAGCCCCGUAAUUUUUUGUGACAUGCAUGAAAAUUUUGGUUAGUUAAAUUUAUAGUCAAAAUUUGGGAAGGUACAUCAAAUCAACACAUGCAAGUAUCAAAAGGGAGGUCACGGCAUGCAUGCAUGCGUUGUACUCCCUCCGUUUCCAAAUAUAAGUCUUUUUAGAGAUUGCAACAAGUGACUACAUACGAAGCAAAAUAUGUCUACAUACAUCCGUAUGUAGUAGUCCAUUUGAAAUGUGUAAAAAGACUUAUAUCGAGUGCAGUGCUUUGAUGUGUCGCGUCAACUCGUACAAGACCGAGAAGUUUGAUUACUACAACGCCCCCUCCCUUGCGCAUGAGCGUGGUGGCUGGCAGGACUAGUAGGAGCUUUCGCUACACGCUUCUUGACAGGGGCGAACUUGCGGAUGGAGUUGGCCAUCAUGUCGUCCAUGCGAGAGCCGAAGCCGGCGUCAGCGAGGGCUACGAUGCUGGCGGUCGCGAGCACCGUCUGGAAACGCUGCGCGGUGCGGGGCCGCAGGCCGGCGCCUUGGAUGAUUUGGCACAGCCGACUGCCGCUCGCGACCAUCGCCUCCAUAGGUGCUUCUGGCUUCUGGUCACUUGGUCUUGGAUUGGAGUGAGCAGUGUUGCGCAGUGAUUGAGAAAAACAUUUAUUGUCAAUCUAACCCUGCCAUCCAUACACCUCUUUGGUUUAGAGUUAGUUCAGGGUUAGAAUCUAACUCUAACCUCUAACUGAGUUAGUAGAGUUCUCCUCGUCUCGUUUCAUCGCCAUCAUACUUUCCCCAUUUCUGUGUUUUUAGUAUCCUGCGAAUCAAAGAGGCCCUUAGACUGGUUUAGGUCCGGUAGUUUUUUAUAAACGUGUUAUGUCCAAAAUUUAAUGAACAUGCUUAGGUUUCUACGAAAAUAAUCUGGUUUCAUGUAGUAAUUCAUUUAUUUAUUUAUUGUUCUACGGGGGGUUUGCAUGUAAUUUGUGAGGUCUGAAAUGUAAAGUACCCCGGCAUAUGCUCCGAGUCGUGCAUGCACUACGACCCAGAUGCUCUAUGUCCCACAUGUCGGCGAAAGGGUGCACGUGGAAAUAGCCUAGGAGUACAUAUAGGAGGAUAAAUGCGUGAAAAAAUAUGUACGGUGAAGCGUAGCUGCGGUUCGAAAAGGAGACCUAAAGUGAUGACAGGUAUAGGUCGCACGCACCCAACUAGUGGUAGUACUAGACAUACGACUUCUUUUUCCCUAAAAAAAAGAGGUAUGAUUGCUCACUACUCCUAUUCUAUCAACGCGAGUCCCAUCUGACAAUAGCGUAUGUGCUACAACUAGCUCUUCUCCCUCGUUUCUCUCUUCUAAUUCUAAACUCAGCCGACGCUCGGUGGGCGGGGUGGGGAUUUGCCGAUGGUCGGUUUGCUCAACUGCGGCCCCACCUCACAGUGAAAACGUUACUACUAGAAUAAAAAUGCCAUAUACUCCUAUACUAAUAAAACAUUAAGGCCACGAGGCGAUGCAGUGCUAGUUACAGGAUGCAAGAAGAAGAGAUGCAUCCAUCGACGACGUCCACCUCCUCGACUUGGGGCGCCGGCCCACCGAACGGCGGCUAAGUAGCAGCGGCUUUCGUGGCCAGGUCGACGUGCUUCUGAACAAUGGCGUCCAAAGAUUCCAGCCGCUGGAAGAAGGCCAACGUCUUUCUGUCCUUGCUGGCCUUGUAGUGGCCUAUGUAGACGAUUUCCUCGUAGACGUGGAUGUGCAGGUCGACGGUUUCUUGCAUGGCGAGGCGCUGCGCGAAGAGCGCGGCCUCGAGGUGCACAUUCUUCAUCGCGACCUCCGGCAACUGCAGGGCCACCAGGGCUUGAAAGAGUUCGUCGCCAUGCAGGCCGAUGAGGGUGGCAGGAAAUGAGGAGCCUGGGCGCGCGGGCUGGAGCAGUACGGUAAGGUCGUCCGCGUGCUUCUUGACGAUGGCGAACUUGCGGAUGGAGUUGACCAUCAUGUCGUCCAUGCGAGAGGCGAAGCCGGCAUCGGCGAGGGCUACGAUGCCGGCGGUCGCCAGCACCGUCUGGAAAUGUUGCGCGGUGCAGGGCCGCAGGCCGGCGCCUUGGAUGAUUUGGCACAGCCGACUGCCGCUCGCGUCCAUCGCCUCCAUAGGUGCUUCUGACUUCUAGUCACUUGGUCUUGGAUUGGAGUGAGCAGUGUUGCGCAGAGACUAAGGAGUAGAUGGAUUGGAGUGGUGGGGCACCUUUAUAUGAGAAUCCAAACUCUGUUGCAUUCACAUCGUGCUGGCUCUAUUCUCCUUCUCCAAUUAAUUCCCUCUGCAUGUAGAGUAAUUUGAGGAUGCAUCAUUGACCGUUCAACAUCUCGGAAACCGCUAUGCUCUCCCUCCUUGGCAUUCAAGCACCUAUGGAGGCGACUGCCGCUCGCGUCUAUCGCGUGUCAAGAGACGUUCCUGUCGACGACGAGGUGCCUAUGGUGACUUCAUAAAUUUCAAGAUGAUAGUACUAGUAUACUCAAUAUUGUGCACCGCGACCAAGGCCGAGAGGAAAACGAGAGAACUACGUAUUUAUUUACAGUGUAGAUUCACUCAUUUUGCUCCAUAUGUACUCCGUCUCGGUGUAGUCUAGUCACUUGCUGAAAUCUCUAGAAAGGCAAAUACUUCUUUCUGGUUUACAGGGCUAUACUAGCAAGUACUUAAUACAAUAGUGGGCUCACAUAGCAAUUUUGUCUCAUGCAAGAGCCUGGCUAUAUGCGUGCUCCAAGGUUCGCAACUGCCACGUUCGGGUUGCACUUGGCUCUUCGCCUCUUCAAGAAGACGAACACUGAUGUUACUACUACUGCUUCUACAGUAUCGAAUCCACUGCUGCAUGUCCGUCCACCGCGAGCGGGAGGGAUAGCUUGUUGUAGUACUAUAUAAGCAAAAGCCUGUCCUCGUCUACGAGCCACCGCGCGCAUGGGCGAGGGAGAAGGCGUGUAGUAGUAAAACAAGCUUCUCCUCAUUGUACGAGUUGACGCGACACAUCAUAGCACUGGCUCCACAUGAUUGCCUCUAAACUUGGCUGAAAGACUCGCAGUGUACAAUACUCCAUUUGCUGCAACCUCUAACAUUUACCCCACCACAAAUUAAAAUAUAUAUUCCUGUCUUGACCAGAUGAGCGUGCAAACUAGAAUCACCAGGAUGACAGGUAGGGCCUGAAGAUAAUUUUAAUCAAAAAAAUAUAGCAUGGAGCCGACCGCAAAGAUUUUAAGCUUACAAGCACGGUACACGCUAUCCUAGACUACUCUACACAUGAAACUGCCACACGAGCGUCCGGGCUGCGCUUGGCUCUUCGCCUCUUCGGGAAGACGAACAAAAUGAUGGAGUACUACUGCAGUGGAGGAGUACUACAGUAUGCUUCUGGCCAUCUGACACCGAUUGAACUGCUGCAUGUCCACCGCGUACGGGAGGGAGAGCGUGUAGCGAACGAAAGCUUCUCCUAGUCCUGCCAGCCACCACGCUCAUGGGCGAGGGAGGGACGCAGCUUCAUUGACUUACUGCUCCUGCCUUUGCAUCCAUGACAGGUGGGCCCAACAGGUCGGUGGCCAACCUGUCAUGCAGCCAAAGGCAGGUGCGGUUAAGGCGAGAGGGUGUUGUAGUAAUCAAACUUCUCGGUCUUGUACGAGUUGAUGCGACACAUCAAAGCACUGCACUCGAUAUAUUUCAAUAAUUUGCGUUUACCGAUGCAUUAAUUACAACGCAUGCAUGCAUGUCGUGACUCUCCUUUUGAUACUUGCAUGUGUUGAUUUAAUGCACCUUGAAGUAGUACGAAUAUGUGACGGUAAAGCUUUGUAAUGCCCCGACCCUAAUAAAGCGAGAGAUGGUUGUGCACGAGGAGGGCGAGAUCAUGCACACGGAACAGGACCCGACGAUGGAGCUCUCUAUGGUCUCGAUGGACCUCACCUUGCUCCACUGCAACUUGUGCCUCCGCCCCUUGAAGCCUCCAGUGUAUGAGGUUCGAAUACACCUCGUCCGUUCGGCUGAUCGAGCAAGGUGCAGGUUUCUUGAUUGAUGUGUUGUUCGAUUGAUUUGUGCAGUGCAAGGGAGGGCACCUGGCUUGCGCGGACUUCCGUGUCGAGCGCCCCGGGAACCAGCGACAGUGCCAGAAGUGCGAGCGCGGCGGUGGCUUCGACGUGCGGAACACGGCAGUGGACGCCAUCCUCUCCUCAGUGAGGGUGGAGUGCCCGCACGAAGGCUGUGGGCUCUACGUCACUUACCACAAGCUCGCCGAUCACCAGAGCGUGUGUCCGCUCGCGUCCUGCAAAUGCCCCGUGCCCGUCUGCGGCUACGAAGGCCCGCCGCUGUGGCUCUCCCACCACAUCAGCACCGUGCAUCCCAUGCCCGUGCACAGGAUCCAGUACGGCAAGGCGCUCCAGCUGCAAGUGCCACUGUCGGAGCCACGGCUCUUGCUGUUCGCGGAGGAGGACGGCCGCGCAUUUUUCUUGGUCGGCGGCGUGCUCGACAUCAGCGCGCCUAUCACCGUGUCGGUCGUCUACAUCAGAGCGGGGGCGUCCCCGCUGCCGCACUACGUGGCCAAGCUAUGGGCGAACGGCCCGCCGGGGGAGCCCAAAGGCAGGACCGACGCCGUCAAGGUGGAAAUGGAGGUGACAAGCAGCAGGGAUCCCAGCGACGUCGCCGUGCAGGAGCCGACCUUCUUCACAGUUAGGCCCAAGCUGCUGGCCGGGGCUAAGCUGGUGUCCCUCCACAUUCAGAUUGACAAGCUCACGUCCUAAAUGAUUCUACAGUGCCUUCUGUUUAUCUUAGUAAUAUGCUAAUAUAGGGGUUAGCUCGGUCUACUUUAGCUUAAGAGAUGGUGGGUUUUGGUGGCGAUGCAGCAAUUACCUCGACAUCACAUCAGCAGUGAAAGUAAUUUCGAACAGUCGAAUGGAUAUUUUGUGUCUGUUGGAUAUAAAGAUCCUUUGGGUAAGAAGUAACAGCUUAUAUGCUUUUUUUUAAACGGAACAGCGAUACUAGUAUAAUUUUUGUUGACAUGCACUAAUAUUUUCGAAACGGACGUCGGGCUGUAGCUAGAAGGGCGGUUGGGACGCGGCAUCGGCCCAUACCGCGGUGACCCCUGAUUGGGAUGCACCGACUGUGGAUUUUCUCCCUCGCCGAUGUCGACCGCGUCUACGCAGAACAUUGUUCCCUUCCCCCAGCUGCGGGAUCAGGCCGGAUAUGUGACCAGCGGUGUGGCCACCAUCGUUCUAUGCUUGUGAAGAGAGCAACCCAAGCAAGCAAGCUUGUAGCUUAGGCUCCUGCUAGUGUAUAUAUAGUGGUUUUCUUUUUCUCUCCAUAUCAACCAAUUUAUAUUGUGUACGUGUCAUUGAAGAGUGAAAUGAUGGUUGCUUCUUCCGACUAACUUACUGUGUGAUUUGACUGCUCCUUUAGUGGCCCCUACACGUACUCCCCCUACGUGUAUGCAACAGUCACAUGUACACAUGGACGCAAAAACGCGCGUGACGCCCUAAUGCAUGCAUGUCCGAGCACACGACGGAACACACACGGUCAUGCUCAAGUGCUCAACCUACACGUGCAUGCACACACAUACUCAGCCAGGGUGAGCUAGUGACCGUAUAAACACCGGAAAAUGUAUAUAUUGAGCGCAAUGAGCGUAUUAUGAAGUCCACUGACCGUAUGUUUACAAAUAUACAAUGACAGACAGUGUAUUUAUCUCGUUUGAAAUUAAGCCAUAUUAACCGGAGAGGAGGCAGUAUGGACUAGCAUUACUUUGAUGUGUCCCGUCAACUUGCCGAACGAGGAGAAGCUUGCGCGCGGUGGCUCGCAGGACAAGGAGAAACUUUUGACUAAUGCAAGCUGUCCUUCGCUCAGGCGGUGGACGUGCAACAGUUAAUUCGGUGUCAGAUUGCCAGAAGCACACACUAUACUAGUAGUACUAUUAUUGUUGCACUUCCCGAAGAGGCGAACAGCCAAGCGCAAAGUUUACUAGUACUACUGCUAUAGUCUAUAGAGGUACUACUAUACUAGUACUAGGAACCGGAUGGAGGAGCGUCUGCACUCUUAUUAUACUUUUUAAAUGUGAUAAAGCAAUCUUCAACACAUUUGGUUCUCUUCAAGGGUUCUCGCAUGUGAUAAUGGAAGUUGAUUGCAUGGAACACUCGCCACAAUUCUCGCUUAAUUCUGGCUCAUAUCCUGUUACAAAUAGGAGCGCUCGGUAAUAUUUCCUCUCUUUUUUGUUAUUCAGCAUGUAAAUAGGUUAGCAAACCUUGCGCCGCAUCUUUGUGCGAACCGUGCUUGCUGCACUUUGAAUGUGGCCGAGAGCUGGCUUGAUGAAACACCUCGCUUCCUACUUCUUUUUUUGCGGGGUACCUCGCUUCCUAGUGACCAGUGUCUUGGCUGAUCGUCCUAAGAAUGCUUAUAUAUGAAUAAAGCUCUCUCAUUUACCCGCAAAAAAGAUUAAGCCAUAUUAACCAGAAAGGAGGGAGUAUGGACUAGCACUACUUGUUUGUGUGUCCCGUCAACUCGCAGAACAAGGAGAAGCUUGCAGGACAUGGUGAAGCUCGCUUAUGCCUUUUUACUAAUGCAAUGUACCCUCGCCCAGGUGGUGGACAUGCAUCAGUUCAUUCGGUGUCAGAUUGCCAGAGGCAUACACUAUAGUACCGAACAUGCGGAGUACCAUCAUUGUUCGACUUCACGAAGAGGCGAAGAGCCAAGCGCAAGGUUUAGUAGUACGAGUAGUACUACUACUAGAACCGCAUGGUGGAGCCUCUGUACUCUUAUUUUUCUUAAUCUUUGAUAAAGUACACAUUUAUUCCGGAGAAGGGCGGAAAACGCCAGCCCAACAUGUAAUGGUGAUAUCAAUCAACCAUGCUCGAAUAUAUCUUGGCCUCCGUGCGAGCCCGUCUGUGUGUUCUUGCUCCUUGUCUCUCUCAAGGAACGGCGGGUUGGCCAUUUUGCCGUCAAUUGAGAUCGGUUUGCUCACACUCCGGUCCCACAUGUCAGUGAUAUGCCAAGAGGAGGUGCGUUGACCGACUGGCCAUACGCGUAGUUGGUUUUGCACCUUCAUACUACUCCUCCCUCCGUCACAGUUUACAGGGCGCGCUUCAUUAUGAUGCAUUUCUCUCAAUGCAUUUCCACCACCAGAGAGACUUUAGACGCGUUUGGUUUAAUGCUCAAUUAAUUAGGGUGUGGUAACCGCAAUUCUCUCUCGAUGUAGUACUACGGAGUGGAGUAGGUGCAUGCAUGUGUCUACCCGGGGUGGAAGCACUGCAUGCAUGUGUGUACGCAUUAUUUCCUCUAGUAAUAGACGCCGUGCUAUAACUACCAAUGCUAUUUUUCAGGCCGAUCGCUAGUCGCCUUGGUCCCAGAGAUUUUCUCUUUUUCUGAAGCGCGCUCUAUAAACAGUGACAGACGGAGUAGUAUGAGCGAAUUCAUAGAAGAGCGUAUUGAUGCUUGCUUCUUCCGAGCAACUUACAGUGGGAAAGGUGGGGCUUAUGAUUUGACUGCUCAUUACUCACUAUUAAUGCGGCGCAACGACCGGUCUGAGUCUCCCAUGCGACUGUGCACUACCCCCUCGGUUCUUAAAUAUACUCCGGAGUAUUUGUCUUUCUAGAGAUUUCAACGAGUGACUACUCAAAUAUUUGUCUUUUUAGAGAUUCAAAUGGACUACUACAUACGGAUGUAUAUAGACAUAUUUUAGAGUGUAGAUUCACUCAUUUUGCUCCGUAUGUAGUCACUUGUUAAAUCUCUAGAAAGACAAAUAUUUAGGAACGGAGGGAGUACACAUACGAAGCAAAAUGAGUGAAUCUACACUCUAAAAUAUGCCCAUUUGAAAUUUGUAAAAAGACAAAUAUUGUUGAUGACAGUUGCAACGACAAAAAAGAAGCAUAUUCCUUGUCCUAAGGGAAGAUAACAACACGGUUGUGUUUGUCUAAAACGGUGUGAGGACGAGAUUGCAAUAUGGAAAGUACGCCAGACGAGCUAUGUUUUGAGCAAAGAACUAUGGAAGAUCCACAUGCAGCGACGUGGGAAGACGGGCAAUGGAGCAAGGCCGGAGGGGAUACCUGGAGGUCAUGGGGAUGUAACUAGGUGAGCGGCGGCGGGCGGAAUCUGCCCAUACUGCGGCAGCGAGCAGGUGGCGUAGGCCCUACCGCGCCGGAGCUUGGUUAGAGAGAACGGCGUGUACCGCAGAUCGGGACGUGCUGCCUCGGCGCCGUCGAACGGAGAAACGAUGCACGUCCUCCCUUUCUGCCGCGGACGUGAUGCGGCCGGAUCAGUGACCAACGGUGUGAGAGAGAGAGAGAGAGAGAGAGGCCACCGCAGCCUUGUGUGAGAUACUCUGAAGAGAGACAAACCAGGCAGGGAGGCUCCAUUGUAUAUAGUGGAGCGGACUACCUUUUUCUCCAUAAAAAUCAGUUUAUAUUCUAUGUACGUGCCAUUGAGCGAUAUAACUUUAUUUAAAAAUAACGCGUCAAUGCAUCAAGUCGAACUUUGUUUCGUGCACGCGUGGUACACGACCUCCGUAGGUAAACAACCGCUACACGCGUUCAAAUUAGCACGUGGGCUGCCAUUUCGUACAGAAAUGAGCUCCACCGUGUACCCGCGCGGGUGUGACUGGGCACGAAGUGUGAGUACGUGCACGGUGCACCUAUUCUCUUCUUGUAUACGUACACCACCUAUGUGGGGUUGUGUGAGAGAGAUACAAACGUAGAGAGAUAUAGUGUGUGGGUUCGUGAGAGUUUUUUUUAGGGGGGUCAAUCAAAAAUGUAACAUAUGCAAUGUGUGUGAAAUAGAGUCCUGGAUAUAUCAUAUAUAUAGAGGGGGCGAUCCACGAGAAGAGAGUGGAGGUAUCAUCGACUUGAGGUGUCCAUAGAAUCGAAGAGAGGGAUGAUGUGUGUGUGUGCGCGCGCGGUCGAUAAAGAGUGCCAUCGAAUUUAUGUGUGCCCACGUCAAAGAUAUAGAGUGGCUGGCCUACUAGAACGAGAGAGGGGACAGGUGUGGUUUGUCUCUAUGACAUGGAUACCUACCUACAGCGGUCGACUAUCGGUGUGUGGUGGGGUGGGGGAGGGAGGCCUAAUUAACUAUAGAGGUACAAUGGCUGGUAUAUGUGUGGAGGAGGAGAGAGGCCUACCUCAUGUAUUAAGGGAGAUUGAUCUACCUCAUGUAUUAAGGGAGAUCGAUCGGCAUCCAUGCAUAUGUGUAGGAGAGGAAUAAGGUUGGGAGAGAGACACAGCUAGAGUGUUGGAGGGGGUGGUAGUGGAGUUGCUUCUAACAAAUGGUGGGAUAGGCUUGCUAGACAACCGGAGGGCACGGCUGCAAUAUCAAUAAGAGAGGGGAUGGCUGCCUGUCUGUGCACGUGCGUGUGAGAGAUGGGUCAGGAGGCAUGCACGAAUGAUGAGGGGGGCGAUAUGGAUGUGGCAAGCAGACAUAACUACAUAUAGGAAGAUCAAUCGUCCUUUGUCAGAGAAAGGAGAGACAUAACUUGUGAGGUACGUCGAUCAAUGGGGGGGAAUAGUUAAAGUCGACCUAGGUAUAUGUUGGGAGAUCGAUCGGUAUACAUGCAUGUGUGUGUUAGAAGCAAAUGAGGCACGGGGAGAAGGAUAGAGAGAGAGAGGGAUGCAUCUAGGAGGUGGUGCGAGAGUCAUACUAUAUCGAGGGGGAAUUGUGCGAGUACGAGAUCGAUGAAAAGAGUGGUGGGAGUGAGGCAUGGACGGUGAUAAGAGAAGAGGGGAAGCUUGUGUUUUGUGCUAGGCACACCUGGCUAGAGAGGCAUAUGGAUCGAUGUGUGCCGUAAAGAAGGAGCUGGGGGGGCCUACACACACACCGUGGGUGAACGACCUAAAGUGAAAAGACGAAUUUGCGCGAUGGAGCUAGAGAAUGCUGAGGGAGGGUUAGAGGGACGCGGGCGUCUGCAUGCACGAGAGAAAGUUAGCGCUAGCUAGCUACAAAGAUAAGAGGAUUGUGUGGGUGUAAAAGACGAAUACAGAUCAUACUUCAUUAUAAAAAGCGAAUUCGUAUAUUUGAAGAAUUUAUCAUAGUGUUUUAAACCGACGCAUGUGUGAAUAUAUAUAUAACGGUGAUACACAUGGUGUGGUUAUGAACAUGUUAUACUACAUAUAAUAUAUUUUAUCUCUACUCUUAUAAAAAGACGGAGUUGUUGAUGAUGGUGCCAUCCCUGCAAUAUAUGUCGUCCGAUUUAUAUCUGACGGAUAGGAAGGAAACUAUGGCAAUUUUGAAAAAAGAUACCCACACCCCUCUCCAUAUUUGCAAAUUAGGCCUCCCCUUGAUCAUGUUGAUGUUCUGUGGAAUGCAUGGGCAUCUUGCUAGUACUACGUAUAACAUAUAGAACAUCGAUCAUAAUUUGGGCUAAUGUGUGGCUUUUGCAGCUGAGGUCUAAAUACUUGUCAUAAUGUAGGGGGCGGGGCACUAUACUAUGUGUGAUAAACACGGUGUACACGUACGGAACAUGGUUUAGAUUAUGAAUAUAUAGUUAGUACAUCGAAUGUACUAUUAUUUGGAAUCAACAUCAAGUGUAUUCAAAAAAUAGAAUUCGAGUUCAUGUAGUACACAUAGUUCAUAUCCAUCUCUAUAGUAAUCAUGUGGUGUGUUAUUAAGGUAAUACACGAAUGAUGGUUGAAGUUGGCAACAAUCAUGAUUGUAGAUUUGUUAUUGAAAUAGAGAAACGAAUUCAAAUUCAAUUUGAAUUGCAGCGGUAGUAUAGACAUUUGGAAUGCACUAAAAUGUUGGUAUGAGUAGGUUACAUGCAUUAUACAGCAAGCGAAAAAAUUCAAUUGGACAUAACAUGGAUUCAUACUACCAAAUAGAAUUUAAUUGCACUAAAUUGUUGGUAUGAGUAUCUUUAAAUAGCAUUUUUAUAGUAAAACGGGGCAAGACUCUCUCUUUGUAUGGUGUGAAUAGUUUUAUUUUUUUCGUUUUCUUUUUGGUUGAGGGAAGUGCGAAUUGAUUUGGUACUACGUACAAGUACAAUAUUACACGUUAGGCUUGUCCCUAAAUUAAACCCGCGCCUUGUUAUAUCCUGAAAAUUCAGAUAUCGUGCUCCCAAAACUGGCGCCUUCACAACCCGCGCCUUGCUAUCCCGAAAUUACAACGCGCGCGAAAACUCCCUCCAGCUGCCAAAUCCCGACACGCGAAAUCCCCCUUCUAACCCUGAGCCGAAAGGGCCGCUAGUUCAAAUCGGUGCGGGGUACUUUUGUAACACACCAUUCAUUUUGGACAAGCGCGUCCCUAAGUCAUGGUUCACCCCCUCCCAUCGCCUCCUUUUUGCCAUUCGAAAUCCCAGGCUGCCAUAACCUCUCCGCUCCAGCCGCGAAACCCCACUCUCCUCCGUCCGCCACCUCACCGCUGCCCAACCGGAGCCUCUUCCCCGACAACGUCGUCCACCGCAACAGCUCGACGCCCCUCGUCCACCUCCCCGGAUGAGGAUUCGUCAUCCAUCUCGUCGUCCCGUCGGUUCAGCCGCCCCGUCCUCCACCUCCAAGGAGCUGCUCUGACGACCGCCUCGUCUAUCGCGGCUGCUCCAUCCCCACAGCGCCGCCUUAACCUGCUCCACCGGAACCGCAUCAUCCUCACCGACUCCUCGGACGAAGCCGAGGCCUACUCGGCGCCACCAAAGAGGUUGUACACUCAUUGCAUCGCACCUUCUCCUUAGCUCGACCUCCCGGCGCCGACGGUGAUCCAUCCCGCACCCCCAUGGAGCGGCUACCUUGAAGCCGGUGCCACGGGCGACAUCUCCAUGGCGGCUCUCCCCAGUGCGAGGCCCCUUCGGCGGCGGCGUCCAUACCAGCCGGAGCUGCUGCUGCUCCGGCUCUCGCUCGCUCGCGCUGCUGCUGCUCCGGCUCUCGCUCGAUCGCUCGCUCGCCCAGCUGCUGCUACUCCGGCUCUCGCUCGCUCGCGCUGCUGCUGCUGCUCUCUCCCUCGCUCAUGCUGCUGCUCUGCUCCGAUUUAGCUACACCUCAAUCGACUGAAUCAACUUUUGGGUCAGUCGAUUUUCAGGGGGUGGGGGGCUCGUCGGAGUUAAGGAAGAACCACCUGCGGUAGGGACGGGGGCUCGCCGAAGAGGUACCCCACUAUCUAUCUUAGGGUUCAGGGUGGGGGCCGGGGCGGCGGCGGACCAGCGGUGGGGAGUUGUUUCGGGGUGGCGAGGCGGCACUGGGGCCGGCGGUUCGGCCGGUGGUGGCUGGCGGCUCAGGGGGGUGCAGGUUGAAGAUGAACUGCAGGCCCUCCCUAAACUACAUGUCAAGUGCCUCUCUACUACAUUGCAUUCAGUUUCGACAGUAACAUUCAGAUUCCACAGUAAUUUUCAGUUUCGACAGUUAAGUUCAGAGUCAACAGUUUUUACCUCAUCUGUUGUAGUCAGGUGGUUUUUGGUGAUGUAAAUUUUACAUCUAUUUUACAUCAUCUAUUGGAGAUGCUACUAGAAUCCCACUUGAGAUUGACGAUGUCUGUCUUGUGCUGCUUCAGCCUUGACGUCUUACGGCUCACCGGGGCUGCUCCAACGACAGAACGAUCCAUCACAACAGAGCAGUGCCCUGGACGCCGUCUACAGAUUCCUCAGAUCUUCCUCCACACCUCUGACAGCCACCUCUGCCUCAACUGCUUCAGCGACCAACCCAAUGAUGCUGAGGUCGACACGGCUACAGCAAAGACGUUGUACACUUGUUGCAUCACUUAUUACUAUACGUUCAUGUCGAUCCAUUAGGGCUAUUUUGGUUCGACGGAAAAACAUAGCAAUAGGGAAUUUUCCAAUGGCACUCUACUAUUCAAUUAUUCAUGCAUUUUGUUGAAAGGAAUGAAGCAAAACAUCCACCUGGACCUACUUUUAAAAAUCCUAUGGAUGAAAACAAGACCAAGUGCAUUAGUGGCAGAAUAACAUUCUAACUGUACACGCUUUCAUAUGGUUUCACUUUAUUUUGGCCAUGUUUCUUUGCAUUCCUCUACUCUUCCAAUUCCUGUAAACCAAACACCCAAGUUGACAGAAAUCCUGUGUUUACAAAUGCUCUGUUUACCAUGUGCAUUCCUAUCCUAUUCCGGUGUUUUUCCUAUCCCUGCAUUUUCAGAAUCAUGCAAGCCAAAUGAGCCCUUACAUAAUUACUUCAGUUACAGGUAGGUGUCGAAGGGAACUUUGUGUGGUUUGUCCUGCUCCUGCCGCGACGUCGUCCACCUCACCUGAGGUGCUCCAUCGACAGAAACAUCCACCAAACCAGACAUCACGACUCUUGACCAUCUUUCACCGCCUCAGAUCUCCUUCCCUGCCGCCGGCACCCACCACAACGGCAUCACCAUCAUGGACUCAGCAGAUGAAUCUGAGGAGUACACGGGUCCACAAGAGAGGUCGCACUCUUUUGAUUCUGCUUAUGUUAUGCAUUGCUUAAAAUUACCUGCUACUUUAUCGUCCUGUUCACCUCUUGGACUCCAAGUCAGGUCCAAAUUAAUGUUCAAACUUGAGUUCUAAAUUAGUUGUGGGGCACAUAUCGAGGAAGCAAUGAAUAGUAUCUUUGUCUAAUAUCUGGUUCACCUAGGGUAUUCCUAUGUUGUUCAUCUUGGGUGGGAAACAAAUAGUAAAGCAAUCAUCAUCUGUCUUUUUAUUAAAUUAAAGCAAUCAUCAACCUGCUAUCAUUAUUUUUGGAUCCAUCCACUGGUUGUGACCAUCACUCUAAAUUUCUGCAUGCUCUCCUUACAUAAUCUCACCAUUUUUUUUCAUAUGCAUGUCAGAUAUUGUACACAGUCAUGCUGAACAUGUAGAGAAAAAGAGAAGAGUUUUGCGCGGCAGUACAAUGUCAUGCAGACAUCACUCCAUGGUGGGUUCAAUGGCAAACCCUCCCCACCCCUCUCCAGAUUGUAAUCCAGAGGAAGAUAUUUGUUCUGAGGCGGAUUCAGACACCGCUGACCACUCCUAUUUACCCCCCAAGGUGUUUGCUCUACCUUGGCAUGAUGAUGUUAGUCAUAUCAUGCAUAUGUUGCCUUGCAGUGCCUACUUUUGAAAUCAUAUAUGUCAUCUGCUUAGUUUAAACAUGUUCUGUAAUGCCACCUGUUUAGUUUCUAUAUCAUAUAUGGGAAUUGUGCAGUCUCAUGUCUUUUAGCCGGCCAUAAUAUACGUGAAAUGUGCAAUGCCAUCCUGUUUAACCAGGCAUCAUAUAUUUGAAUGAUAUCUUGCCCAUCCUUUUCUUCAUUACAUUUCCAUUUGUCGACAAUGUUUGUACAUUAAACUACUCUUCCUGUGAAUCAGCCAUUUGGGUGGGAGAUUGAAAAAUCUGGAGUGAAAACAAGGACUUCAGAGCAGACAGUGCUACCUGUCGAAGCAGAUCUCUUGUUGGGUCCCGAUAGCUCCUCAGAGAUGGAUUCAGAGACAGAUGACCAGUCCUAUUUCCCCACCGAGGUGUAUGCUCUAACUUGGCACGGUUAUACUGCUCAUAUCAUGCAUAUGGUGUCUUGCAUUGCAUAGAUUAGACAUCAUAUACACAAUAUUCAACACCAUGUUCUUAGUUCAGACAUCAUAUCUAAUGCCCUCUGUUUAGCAUAUAAAUCACAUAUGUGAAUUAAAUGAUGCGAUCCCGAUUACUUAGAUAACAUGUAGGUGAAUUAUGUCAUGUGAUCCUGUUUAGUUAUUCAUCAUAUCUUUGAAUUAUGUUAUGCUAUGCUAUCCAGUUUAGAUAGACAUCAUAUAUGUGAAAUUAUGGCAUGCUAUCCGUUUUAGUUAAACAAUAUACAUGUCAACUAUUUCAUGCCCUCUUUUUUCCACACUAUCUAUUGCAUCUGUCUCUCAUACAAUGUCUGUACAUUCAACUAUGUUUCCUGUUUAUCAGCCAUUUGAAUUGGAGCGGGUGAUGCCAGCAUCUAGUAGACUAAAAACACGGUCUUCAAAUAAAACAAUGCUACCUCUUGGUGGAGAUAGCACCCCAGUUGUACAUGCACGAGAACCAGCCUUACCACACAUAACCCAAACUCUCGCAGAUUGUACCCCUACUGCGAUGGACAGAGAACCAGCUUCACCCAAUCUAACCCCAACCCCAGCAAAUAGUAACCCAGUUCCUAUUGACACAGCACCAUCUCCACCACAGAGCUCCCAAACAAGAGCAGUUAGUAAGGCAGCUCCAGUGCUCAAAGGGCCAGUACUACCACGGCGAACCCCAACUCCACCAGUUAGUACGCCUAUUCCUGUGGAGGAAGCACAACCAGCUAGUCGUAGUUUAGCAUCUAUCCCAUUUGAUGUUGUUAAAUCAUAUGUGUGUAUCUUCCCAUCUUGAAAAUAUUAUACUGAAGAUGAAGGAAAAUGCCAGUUGCAGGUGUUUGUCCAGGAGUUAUGUGUAAGUAAUGUUAUUCAUGGCAAUUACUUUGCUUUGUCCCAUACAUCCUACCUCCAUGAUGGUUAUAAUACAGCAAAUUUUCCCAUUUUUCUCCAUAGAGAAGGACCGAUUUGGAAACUCAGGAUGAGGUAACCUCUGCUAAUACCUCUGCUAUCUUCAAGAAUUCUUGGUGGCAUUAUCGGAAUUACCUGAAGAAAACGCACUUCACCGGCAAAGAAACUCAUCAAAUUCCCUUACGUUCUCCUGAGACACAUUUACUGGACAAUGACUGGGAACGCCUUGUUCUGUACUGGUCCCGAACCAAGAAUGUGGUAAGGUCUAUAAGCUCAUUUUCUAUUUUUAAGUACUAUAUUCUUGCGUCUUACUGUACUCUGUUCAUGUAGAACAAGUGCCUAAACCUGAAGAACAACUGUUCUAAUUUAAGAUUCCAUUGCUAUCAUAGUUUAAAAAAGCGCUAGGCGUUAAUUGUGCGUCUUGCCACCGCCUUGCGCUUUACUGACCAAAGUGCAUGCUUAUGCGCAGUUAUGCACAGAUUAAGCGUAGUUAUGCGCAAUGCGUUUCGCCAACGCCUAGAGCCUAGGCGCGCUUACGCGCUCGCUUAGGCGCGCCUUUUUUAACUAUGAUUGCUAUUGUGCAUACUGCUUUGCUCUUGUAUCACUGUAUUUACUCAUACAAACUUAUUUUUAAAUUAAAGGAUCCAAUCGAAACUGCAAUGGCACAGCAGGUAUGUUCACGCAUGUUUCUUUAACAGGCUUGCUCUUAUCAAUAGCUCUGUUGAUUUCAAUUUCAAUUGUGUAUACAGUUGACUUCUCAUAUCAUGCACAUUACUAGCAUCACAACAGAGCCAAUAGUGUUGUUGUACAUGUAGACCCGUGGUACCCAUCUGAAAUCUUGUUGUGCCGUGUAGUUUCCCAUGCUUUGUAUUCUUUCACGGCUGCUUUGUCUUGAACUGAUAUGAUUUGAACCGUGUCUCUUUUUUGAUUUGGCAAGAAAAUCCAGUGACCAUAGGACAUAGAUAUACGUUUGUUUGAUGCUUUUAUUAUGUACUAGUACUUGGCAAUAGAAGACUUGGUAGUUUAAUCCUGUCCACCUUACUAAUGAACUGGUUCACCGAAAUGAGUUUCAUAUACUAGUACAUGCUAAAAUGUUAUGUGUCUGCUUGUUUCUUCUUUUAGAAUGCUGACAGAAUAUUGGGGAAGAGUGCCUUAUUAAGCAAUGGUAAAGGAAGUAAUGCAGAUAAGGUUCAGGAUAGUGACACAUCCUUGUUAGUCUCCAACAAAGCUGAUAAAACAGCUAAGGGAGACUAUCUCGAAGACAGUGAGACAACCCCAAAGUCAUGUCUUGGUUUAGUGUUGGAGUUACUGGCCACUACCACUUGCACAAGCUACUCAAACUCACUGUCUGAAUCAGUUCGGUUUCUUGAGUCUCAACUACAAGCUAAAAGACAUUGAUCAGCUGUGCUGCGACAAGAGGCGGAAGGACUGCGGAAGUCCCUGGAGCAUUCAGAUGCAUACUUUCUGGUGCAACAGCAAGCGUUGGAGGAUUUUAGCGCCAAACAGGACAAAGCUAAUAAGCUUGCUAAGCUUAUUGCCAGUAUGGUGGAUACCACAUUUCUUGAGCUCUUAUGAAGUGGUUUCAGUUAUGCUCUUGUUUUGCUGCUGCGUUUAUUUGCACUGGUGGCCAAUUUUGAUGGCCAGUGUAUGUAAUAUGCUGCUUUGUUCCCUAUAUUUGCACUGGUGGCGAACUUUGAUGCCCAGUGGAUGUAAUAUGUGUAAUAGCGGUAAUAGGCUAGCGUUAAUUGCUUGCUUAUUUAUUUCCUUAUUGUCUUCUUUAGUUGUUUGCUUGUAGUCACUGUUCUGUGUUUUUCUAGUGGCCACAAUAACCUAUUUUUGGAAACUAGGCCAAAAUAAUCAUGGCAACACACGGAUUGUUGUUACCAUGGGCCUCCUACGGGCCAUAUGAUCCAUGGGCCUUCUACGGGCCGUAGGAUCCAUUGGCCUUCUAUACGGGCCGUAGGAUCCAUGGGCCUUCUAUGGGCCGUACGGUCCAUGGGCCUUUUACGGGUCGUAGGAUCCAUGGGCCUUCUAUGGGGCGUAUCGUCAUUUCGCCAAUCAUGGGCCGUACUAUUCGUGGACAAUAACGGGCCGUGUAUAGGCCGUAUUUGAUAACUCUAUGAAAACAGCCCAACGGGUUUUUUUUGACAUGAAAACGGCCCAGCGUAUUAACGGGCCACAAACGGGCCGACUGUAACCACGGGCUGAAUUUGGCCCACAAGCAGAAAAUGACAGUAACGAGCCGUAAGUAACCGAAUGUUGGAAAUGAGCCCAAGAAUAAAUGGGCCCAGAGAAGGCCGAAAGAUAUCAUGGGCUGGAAACGGCCCAAGGGAAUAAUGGGUCGUUAAUGGGUAUAAAGUGAUACACUAUUCAUUACGGGCCAAUUUUACCACGGGCCGUUAAGGGGCCGAGGGUUACUAAGGGCCUCAUAUGGGCCGAAAGACGUCAUGGGCCAUACAUGGGCCGGAAGUUAAAAUGGGCUGGAAUUAUAUUGGACGGCCCAGAUGACGCUAUUGGGUCUAAUUCGGAUAGGCCGUAAACGGGCCCUGGGAUAGCGGGCUGUAAAUGGGCUAUAUGCGUACAGGCCGUUAACAGGCUUGCCGUGGGCCGGCCCGCCACCUUUUGACCAAGUCAAACGGGCCGGCCUUUUCACACGAAUGGGCCUCUGUUGGUCCGUGCCACGUGCCGACGUAUCAUAGGGGCUUUGGGUCCAAUGAGUGGAUGACAUAUGUCCCAACGGUGAGCCAACACGUGUUUCCUCCAGCCAAUGAUGAUUUUACACGUGGAAAAUCCCCAUUGGUCGGGGCUGUUAAACGGGUUAUUGGAUCCAAAACCGGACCCGAUAGCUUAACAAUGUUCCGUUACGGUGGAUGCCACGUGUCGGUCACCCUUGACGAAAGCACUUCUGUGACGCGCGAUUUAUCGUCAUGGAAGUGGACACUUCCAUGAUAAUUUUGGUAAUGUCAUGGAACACUUCUACGACAGCACAGUAUGACUAUCUUGAUUCUGUCAUAAAUUUUUCAUGGAUGUACAUGCAUGACAGAAAACAUGACCUACUGUGACAAACACGUAUCAUCACGGAAGUGUUUUUUUUGUAGUGAAACUUCAAAUGAUAUAAGUGAAGCACAUGAAGCAUUCUAUAAAGCCAUACUCAAAAGAUAUAAGGGAAGUGCAAAGAGCAUUCGAUAAAUCAACCAAGGACUAUCUCAUACCAGCAUGGUGCAUUAUUAAAUGAAAAAUAAAAAGCACACGAAAUUCCAAGAUUUACGCAUAUCAUGUGACAAAUAAAAAUAUAGCUCCAAGUAAAAUUACCGAUGAUCGUUACAAGAAAGAGGGGAUGCCUUCCAUGGCAUCCCCAAGCUUAGUUGCUUGGAAGUCCUUGAAUAUUACCUUGGGGUGCCUCGGUUAUCCCCAAGCUUAGGCUCUUUCCACUCCUUAUUCCUUCAUCCAUCGUGAUCUUACCCAAAACUUGAAAACUUCAAUCACACAAAACUUAACAAAACCCUCGUGAGAUCCGUUAGUAUAAUAAAACAAAUCACCACUUUAAGUACUAUUGCAAACUCAUUCAUAUUUUAUUUUGCAUUAUAUCUACUGUAAUAUAAAUUUUCCAUGGCUUAUACCACCGAUACAAUCGAUAGUUUCAUCAAAACAAGCAAAACAAUGCAUCAAACGGAAUCUGUCUUAAAUAGGACAGCAUGUAGUAAUCUGAACACCAACCAUACUUAUGUAACUCCAAAAAUUCUGAAAAAUUAGGACACAAUAAAAAAUUUGUAUAUAAGUAUUUUGCAAAAAGUUUCAGAAGCUUUUGACAUUCUGGUAAAAAAUGUAAAUUCACACGCUGCAUCCAAAGUUUCUGUUUUUCCACUUCACAAACCAAACAAGCUAUCUAAUCAUCCUAAAGACAAAUCUUGGCACAUUAUUUUUAUAAUAGAAUGGAUUUAUACAAGGGGAUAAUUAUUUUUGUUGAAAAGUUUCUGUAAUUCAAGAUUUGCAAAGUUUCCACAGGCAUGAACAAAGUUCAAGGAGCUCCCCCACUUCAAUGGUGCCCGUCUUUCUUACUUUCACUUUUCUUUUUGAAAAAGUUUUAAAUUCCCAACUUUAUUUUUUUGUUUUUAAACUUUAUAAAAGCACACAACAGAAAUAAAAGACUCUCUAAAACUUCCGGGUUGUUUCCCUGGCAGCGCUUUCUUUAAAGCCAUUAAGCUAGGCAUAUAGUGCUCAAGUAAUGGAUCCACCUGGGUCCCAAGGUAUAUCAAAGCCAAUUUUAAUUAAUAAUGAUUUGUGAUUUAGUAGUGAGCACAAAGUAAUAUAUAUCAUGCAACAACGAAGUCUAACUCUCUUCCUAUGCAUCGGCAUGUCAUAAAAGAACAAUUCAUGCACAUCAAGUAAAGGCCAACACAUAGUAUAAACAGUUUCUUGCAAUUUUAUCGUAUUGGAAACAUAGAGAGGCGGAGAUGUAGUUCCUCUCUCAUAAUAAUUGCAAGUAGGAGCAGCAAGCACAUGCAUAUUAUAUUUAUCAAAAUCAUCAUGUGUAGUAGUAAAACGCAACCCACCAAUAUAAUCCUUAAUAAGUGCAAACUUCUCCGAUAUAGUGUAGAUGGGAGAAUUCAAAAAGAUAAUAGGACUAUCAUGCGUGGGUGCAGUAGCGACAAUUUCAUUCUUAACAUAACGAACUAUAGCAAGUUCAUCUCCAUAAGCAUAAUUCAUAUUGGCAUUAUGGCCACAAGCAUAGCAAGCAUCAAGUUCAUCAAAAAGGGAUAUUUCAAACGAAUCAAAGGGAUCAUAGCAAUUAUCAUAGCAAUCAUCCUUCGGUAAGCAUGAUGGGAAAUUAAACAAUGUAUGAGUUGAAGAGUUACUCUCAUUAGAAGAUGGGCAUCGGUGAUCAAUCCACUCUUCCUCCUUUUGUUCUUCGCUCUCCUCGUCAUCUUUUUCAUCCAAUGAGCUCAUAGUGUCAUCAAUUUCUUUUUCCAUAGUUUCCUGCAAAAUAUUAGUCUCUUCUUGGACAGCGGAGACUUUCUCAAUAAACUUAUCAAUAUCAGCAUUGUAUUCAUAAUUCUCAUAGCAAUAUUUAAGUAUAGCAAAAUUUUCAGGCCUAUAAACAUCAUCAUCAAAAGCUUCAUACUUUGCAAACAAAGAUUCAAUUUCAUAAGCACCCUUAAAAGCAACAAAUUCUUCUAUUCAUUCCACAUCAUAGUAAUCAUAUCUAGCAUUAGCAUAAGAAGCUAAGGUUUCAUUAUCAUUAAAUUUGCAUGAAAAGGGAAGGUGUGAAGCCUUCAUCCUAGAGCAACAAGUAAAAUCAUAUCUCUGGCAUAAAUUCCAAGCAUACCAAUGCAACAUAUCAAUUUGAUCCCAUAAUAGUUUCCCUUUUCGAGUCAAGCGACAAUCCCUAAAUAUGAUCCCAUAUCUGCAGUUAUGCUCAAUGGUGUCCCUGGUAAGAAAUUUUACUGCAGGAGAGGAGUGAGGCAGGGUGAUCCCUAUUCACCUCUGAUUUUUGUCUUAGCUGCUGAUCUGCUUCAAUCCAUUCUUAACAAAGCCAUGAGAUUAGGGAUUGUGACCCCUCCUUUGCAAGUCAACUCAUGCCCUGAUUUCCCAAUAGUUCAAUAUGUUGAUGACACCUUGGUUCUCAUGAGAGCAAAUGCAAGGCAACUCAUCUGCCUCAAGUCUCUAUUGAAUACUUUUGCAGAAGCCACAGGUUUGAAAGUGAAUUAUGGGAAGUCCAGCAUGGUGCCCAUUAACAUUGCAGAAGACAGAGUUAGCAUUUUCACAAAUACCCUAUAGUGCAGUAGAGGAGUAUUCCCUUUUACUUACUUGGGAUUGCCCUUGGGAACCCACAAACCUACUAUGGAGCAAUGUUUGCCAUUAGUCCAAAGAAUUGCAAAAGAUUAGCUGGGCUCUCAACUUUCAUGAAACAAGCUGGAAAAUUACUCCUGGUAAAAUCAGUACUGACAUCUCUUACAAUUUUCUUCAUGUGCUGCCUGGAUGUUCCUGUCACCAUCAAGCAACAAAUCAUCAAAUAUCUGCGACACUGUCUAUGGAGGAGCCCUGAUAUGGAAGAUCGCAGACAUGCCCUAGCAGCAUGGAAAACUGUUUGUAGACCAAAAAACCAAGGAGGACUUGGUGUUAUGGACAUCUUCGCACGGAACAAGACUCUGCUUAUGAAAAACCUCCACAAGUUUUAUAACAGACAUGAUAUACCCUGGGUGCACCUCAUUUGGGAGUCUUACUACAGUAAUGGGCAAUUACUAGGAGACAACAUGGUUGGGUCUUUUUGGUGGAAGUCUAAUUUGGCACUCAUUGGUCAGUACAAAGCUAUUGCAAGAUGCAAUAUAGGGGAUGGAAAAAGUGCCCUCUUUUGGGAUGAUUGUUGGCAUGAUUUUGUGUUGAAGCACAAGUUUCAUCACCUCUAUUCUUUUGCUCGAGAUACAGCCAUAAAUGUCCACCAAGUGAUUCACACUGAGUACCUGCAGGACCUUUUUCACUUACCAUUGACAACCCAAGCCUAUGAGGAAUUUCUGGAAAUGGAGAAUAUAUGUAUCACACUGAGAACUUCAGAGCACUUGGAACUCCGAGACACAUGGAGUUAUAUUUGGGGUAAUGAAUUUUACUCAUCCAUUAAGGCAUACAAUGUAUUAAUUGGAUUUAAACAAACUCCCCCUCAUUUUGGUUGGAUAAGGAAGAGCUCAUGCCAGCCAAAGCACAAGGUGUUCUUCUGGAUGCUGCUACAUGAUAGAGUCAAUACAAGAAACCUACUGAGAAGAAAGAAUUUUGAGCUGGAAGAUUACAACUCUGCUGUGAGUAACUGACAACAGGAAGAGACACUGCACCACCUCUUUUGGAGUUGCCCCUUUGCAUCACAAUGUUGGGAUUUCAUAUGCCCAGCAGAGCACACAACUUGUCAGUCUUAGAAGCUUUUCAAGAUCUCAAGAACAAACUGAACAAACCUUUCUUCAUGGAGAUCAGCAUUCUUGGAUCUUGGGCUAAAAGUUUUGAGCAUAUUAACCCCUCCUUCCAGGGUUGGAAGUUCAUUUUCUUGGAGGAGUUGAAGCUAUUAAGAUACAGGAUGAAGAAAAAGUAUGCUUAGCAGUUCUCUGCAUGGUUGGAGUCCAUCUUGUAAUUUCUACUUUUCUGUUGUACAGUAGGUUGUUUAGUUUUUCUCUUCUUCUUUUUUCUUUCUUUUUCUUUUUCUUUUGUUGCUUAGCUAGUUUAGUUCUUUAGUUUAGUUUAGUUUUUUCUGUUUUUUCUCUGGCUUAUCUCAAGCCUUUGUAUUAGACCUCUUUUUAUUUUAAUAAAAGUUGCAGUGGGGUUUUUACCCUACUGUUUAUAGUCAAAAAAAGUAUUCACAUUGAUCCAACGUGUCUCCCAUUAUCAAGUUGAACAGGGUUUUCUCAGGAUUAUCAAAGUAGUAUUUAAUAUUUUCCACAUAACGAGCAUCGAGGGCUUUAGGAGGUUCCCCAUAUCCAUCAGUAGCAAGUACACCUAAUUUUUUUUUGGUAUUUUGUGUUCAAUAUCCAUAACUGAAGAUAGAGAACAGCUUAGAACAGCAAAUAAAAUCUACUUAGUGAUAAAGCAAACAAGCACACACAAGAAUAUUCACCCCACGCUAUUGCUCCCCGACAACGGCGCCAGAAAAAGGUUUUGAUAACCCACAAGUGUAGGGGAUCAGUUGUACCCUUUCUCGAUAAAUAAGAGUGUCGAACCCAACGAGGAGCUAAAGGUAGAACAAAUAUUCCCUCAAGUUCUAUCGACCACCAUACAACUCUACGCAUGCUUAAGGUUCGCUUUACCUAGAACAAGUAUGAAACUAGAGGUACUUUGUAGGUGUGAUAGGAUAGGUUUGCAAGAUAAUAAAGAGCACAUAAAAAAAUCUAGGGGCUGCUUAGAUAAAGAAACAACUAAGUUAGUUUUAGUAGAGAGCUUUUUGUCACAAGAAAGUUAUUUGUCCCUAGGCAAUCGAUAACUAGACCGGUGAUCAUUAUUGCAAUUUAUAUGAGGGAGAGGCAUAAGCUAACAUACUUUCUCUUCUUGGAUCAUAUGCACUUAUGAUUGGAACUCUAGCAAGCAUCCGCAACUACUAAAGAUCAUUAAGGUAAAACCCAACCAUAGCAUUAAAGUCAAGUCCUCUUUACUCCCAUACGCAAACAACCUACUUACUCGGGUUUAAGCUUUUGUCACUCUAGCAACCCACCAUAAGCGAAUCAUGAACAUAUUGCAAACCCUACAACGGGGAUCCCUCAUGCUUGCGUGACACGGAGAGCACCAUAGGACAACACCAAUAAUAAAACAUACAACUCAAACCAAUCACGAUCAUCAAUUAAACCAUAGGACAAAACGGAUCUACUCAAACAUCAUAGGAUAGCCAUACAUCAUUGGGAAAUAAUAUAUAGCGUUGAGCACCAUGUUUAAGUAGAGAUUACAGCAGGGAGAAGAGGUGUUACACUGCUCCAUAGAGGAGGAGAGAGUUGGUGAUGACGGCGGCGAAGUUGUUGGUGUAGAUCGCCGUCACGAUGAUGGCCCCGGCGGUGUUCCGGCGCCACCGGGAGAGAGGGGGAGAGAGCCCCCUACUCCUUCUUCUUCUUCUUCCUUGACCUUCCCCCUAGAUGGGAGAAGGGGUUCCCCUCCGGUCCAUGGCCUCCAUGGCGGUGGAGGGGCGGGGUAUAGAAGGGAAAGGGGCGGUGAAAAAUAAAUUGAAAAAAGCAGAAACAUUUAGUCCCAGUUGGUAACACCAACCGGGACUAAAGGUCAUUCACCCCACUCCGCCCACGUGAGGGGCCUUUAGUCCCGUUCCAUAGCAAACCGGAACUAAACGGGGGGGAGGGGGCUUUAGUCCCGAUUUGCUAGUCCCGGUUUCCCAACCAGGACUGUUGCCCUGUUUUCUAUUAGUGUGUGUACAACGGAGGCCGCGGUGUACGACGGUGGCUGUAGUGUACGGCGAAAGCGCCGUGGUGCCAUGUACGUAUGCAGUACUGGAGGAACCGCCACCGCCGCGGCUGCUGCCCUAUUGUGGCUCGACUAGGCUGAAGGUUAAUGGGCGAUGGAUUUGGCAGAGAAUCGUGGGUACCAGACAUACUUCGGUAUGUUAUAAUCAAUGGCUAGUAAAAGUCAUGUCAUAAUCAACGUCUAAAAAAAUUAUACUUGACGGUACCGGAGGGUACCACGAGUACCGUCCCAAUCACCGUAAAAGAGCUCGAAAACCAAAUCUGAAAGACCAUAUAUUACCAUUGAGAUAAACAAUAGCAUUAAAAUUGAGAAAGAAAACGAGAAAAAAAUAUGAAUAUAUAGCCUACGGUAGAUACUUGCUUGAUUGGUGCUAUGUAAUUUUAGUACUCUUUGAACUCUAUUCUUAUCCUGAUGCAAAUUUUAAGAUUUCGUAUACCAAUUAAGGAAAUAAAUAAAUUAGGCCUAAAUAUCUAUGGAAGGCAUCAAAUUAAAACUAGCCGAUAUGAUGCCCAAAAUUAUUUUUUCCCACAAAAGAUAACCAUGCAUGUUAAUACUAUUGGACUAUAAGUACAGAUCCCCACGAUGUUGAUCUAGAAAGAACAUCAUACACACACAUUAGCUUAUCGAUAUGUAGCGAUCUGACCUCACACGGUCGAAUCUCUGUGCAUAAGUGUCAUCCCUGGAUCGGUAAUGCUGACACACACAGUACUCGAAGGCUUUAUAACAGAGUAGCAAUCAGACACUUAUUACAUCGAUAGUCCCAAUAUAGAACUUAUUAUAAUAAAUAUGGCUUAAGGCCAUCUAAAUAAGACAACAGCGGAAGGCUUGGAAGAUAAAGUGAGUCCAUCAACUCCAACGGCAUAGCUGAGUGCACGACACGGCCUAGCGAACCUUACUCUUCGUCUGAAAAGUCUGCAACAUGAUAUGUUGCAACCCGAAAAUGGGUCAGCACAUGGAAUAUGCUGGCAAUGUAACACAGUAGAGCAGUGAACAGAAUAAAAGCUAUCACUACAUGCAUAUAUGGCUGGUGGAGGCUCUAUGGUUACAAUGUUUUGCGAAAAGCCAAUUUUUUCCUACAACAAAGGAAUAUAUUUUAUUUAACUAUCAUGGUAGUUGAAACAUUGAUAAUGGUACCCCCAUCUCAAUCCAAAAUUAAAAGUAAUUAUCAACCCAACAAAUUAAAUUAGAGUGAUGAGAUCAACAUGAUAAUCCAAGAACCAGAUACUCAAGAUAUCCAUAACCGGGGACACGGCUAACCAUGAUUAGUUUGUACACUCUACAGAGGUUUGCGCACUUUUCCCCACAAGACUCGAUCUCCUCCGUUGGAUCUCUCAUACUUCAAGGUGUUUGAGAAAUGGAUGACCGAGACACGGUCUUUCAGAAGCAUUAACUCUAACCCCGGGUAGACAAUACCAACCUACAUCCCCUACAUCUGCUAGCCUACCACGGAAGAGGUCAUGCAACAUACUCAACUAUGCUAGAGCCCAUAAUAGCUUGUGGCUGCACACGAAAAUUUCUAGCAUGAACAAUCUUAUGAUCCCUUUGAGCCUGGGUGGCGGACCAUAGGAGGAUCACACGGUAUAACCCCGGGAUCUCCUAGGACAACACUGGUAUAACCCCAGGUGCCCAAACCAACAAUCCACCCAGAUGUGUAUUAAAGUUGCCACCUUAAGUUGAUCCAUUAAUUAACAAUCUUACAUCUGUCAUGGAUACACUCAAACCCAAUCCACGUCUACGAGCAUAGCAUGGCAACAUAAGCAUAGCGUAGAAGUAACUCCCAAGGGAUUGAUAAUAAAACAGGUAAUAGGUUCUACCUCAUCAUCUACUUCCCAAAACCCACAUGUUAUCAAAUCCUAACCAUGCAAUGUUUGAGGGUUGUAACUAAUGCAUAAAAACUGGGUAUGAAAAGAGUAUGAUCAAUGUGUUACUUGCCUUGCUGACGAUCUGCAAACCCUAGAGACUCGUAGUAGCGCGCUUCGCACUCCGGGAAUUCUAUCACAAACAAACAAUAGCAUACAUAAGCACUCAAGAAAAUAUGCACAUGUAAAUCUCAAACAAGAAGAUCGAAUCUGAAAACUCAACUGAAGAGAUUCGGUUUGCAAAAAGAAUCAAUCGAAUCGGAGCUACGGAACUGAAACUACGGUCAAAAGAACUUCGAAUUCAAAUCUGCUUGAAACCAAAUUUUAAAUUUUCGAAACCUUGUUCGAGUUGAUUAAACAUAAAGAGGGACUCCAUACGAAGAUUUUGGCGUUGGUUUCACUGGAUUUGGACAAACGGUUUAGAAAUGGCGAGGGUUUGAACAUCAGGGGCUAAUCUGCGAUAAAAAUAAUCGCGGAUAAGUCCCUGGCAAAAAAUAAAAAGAAAAGACUAACGAAAGAAUGUUCGCUGUCUGAACCUAACCGGCGAACAACGUUCGUUAAAACGAACGAUCGGACGAAUGUCCGCUAAAUAAAUAAACCGACGAAAAACCGAACCGAUCUAUAAAAAAAUAGAUCUAGGGUUUUGUGUAAAAAAACAAGACGGUUUUCUGAAAACGAGGCGCGGUGGCGGCUAGGGUUUCGGGCGGCGGGCUGGCGGCUUGGACUGGCAGGGCGGUCGGGCCUCGCCUUUUAAAGGGGCCGGCCGGGGAAGUCCGGCUCGGGCACGGCCCGUAGGUCGGUUCAUUUUUUUUAACGGACGGAGUAAAAUAAGUAAAAGAAAUACCAAACAAAGUCCACAAAUCCUAAAAUAAAUUUUCACGGUCCUCUAAUAAUAUUUUGGACAAAGUGAACAUUUAUUUGGGCUAAUAAUCCAAUUUUGAAAAAUGCUCAUUUUUUAAUUCAAAUAAAAUAGCAAUAAAAUCCAAGUAAAAUUAUUUAUUUGAUUUUAACAUUUUUCCUCCAAUAUUUCAUUUAUUUUGGAGAAGUCAUAUUGUCUCCUCUCAUAUAUUUUAAUUAUGAAAUAAUUUUUUUUGAGAGAAAAAUAAUAAAACCAAAAUGAUCCUCUUUCCAAUAUUUGAGAAAAGUCAAAUAUGAAAAUAAUAAAAUCCCCAACUCUCUCCGUGGGUCCUUGAGUUGCUUAGAAUUUUUAGGAUCACUACCAAAAUGCAAAUAAAAUAUGAUAUGCAUAUGAUGACCUAUGUAUAACAUUCCAAGUUGAAAAUCUGGGAUGUUACUAACCUACCCCCCUUAAGAUGAAUCUCAUCCUCGAGAUUCGGGUUGGCUAGAAAAUAGGUGUGGGUGGUCUUUGCGUAGAUCAUCCUCUCGUUCCCAGGUGGCUUCAUCCUCGGUAUGGUGGCUCCACUAAACUUUGCAAAACUUGAUAACCUUGCUGCGAGUAACUCGGCUGGCAAACUCGAGAAUCUUGACUGGUUUCUCCUCGUAGGUCAGAUCACUAUCCAACUGAAUGGCUUCCAGGGGCACUGUAUCUCUCAGAGGAAUAUCGGCCAUCUCAGCAUGGCACUUCUUCAACUGGGAAACGUGAAACACAUCAUGAACUCCUGACAGUCCUUCGGGUAACUCCAACUUGUAGGCCACCUCUCCCAUACGUUCCAAAACUCGGUAUGGUCCUACAAAUCUGAUGGUUAACUUUCCCUUAACUCCAAAGCGUUUAACUCCUCGCAGUGGUGAUACACAGAGAUAUGCUCUGUCUCCGAUUUCAUAGACUACCUCCUUGCGUUUUGAGUCUGCAUAACUCUUCUGCCUGGACUGAGCUACCUUCAGUCUGUCUCGAAUCAGCUUAACCUUCUCUUCUGACUCUUUGAUCAAAUCUGGUCCAAACAACUGACAGUCUCCAACUUCAUCCCACAUCAACGGUGUCCUGCACCUCCUUCCAUACAAGGCUUCGAAAGGUGCCAUCUUCAAACUGGCCUGGUAGCUAUUGUUGUAUGAGAACUCCGCGUAGGGCCUCGAAUCAGCUUAACCUUCUCUUCUGACUCUUUGAUCAAAUCUGGUCCAAACAAUUGACAGUCUCUAACUUCAUCCCACAUCAACGGUGUCCUGCACCUCCUUCCAUACAAGGCUUCGAAAGGUGCCAUCUUCAAACUGGCAUGGUAGCUAUUGUUGUAUGAGAACUCCACGUAGGGCAAGUUGUCAUCCCAACUAGAUCCAUUAUCUAGCGCACAAGCUCUCAACAUGUCCUCCAGAAUCUGAUUGACUCUCUCGGUCUGUCCAUCUGUCUGCGGAUGAAAGGCUGUACUAAACCCUAGCCUGGUACCCAAAGUCUGGUGCAGCUGGUGCCAAAACUUUGAAGUAAACUGCGUUCCUCUACCUGAUACGAUGGUCCUCGGAACUCCGUGCAGACAUACGAUCCUGGUCAUAUAUAGCUUGGCCAACUUUGCACUUGUAUAGGUGGUCUUCACUAGGAUAAAGUGAGCCACUUUGGUCAAACGAUCCACUACUACCCAGAUAGAAUCAUAUCCUGAUCGGGUACUGGGUAAUCCCGUGAUAAAAUCCAUGCCAAGCUUAUCCCACUUCCAUUCGGGUAUCGGCAUAGGUUGCAAUAAUCCUGCUGGCUUCUGAUGUUCUGCCUUCACUCUUUGACAUACAUCACAUACAGCUACAUACUCGGCAAUAUCCUUCUUCAUACCAGUCCACCAGAAAUGCUCCUUCAAAUCCAAAUACAUCUUGGUGUUUCUGGGGUGUAUCGAGUAUGGUAAGUCAUGAGCUUCCUGUAGUAUCAGCUUCCUGAUCUCUGCAUUAUUGGGCACAUAAACACGGUCCUCAAACCACAAGGUGUCGUGCUCAUCCUCACGAAAACCUUUGGCUUUUCCCUUGCUCAUCCUCUGCUUUAUCUCGGCAAUUUCCUUGUCAUCCUUCUGAGCUUCUCGAAUCUUUCUCAAUAAUGUUGACUGAACCUCCAUGGCUGCGACAAAACCUCUAGGGACUAUCUCCGAACGAAGCUCCCUGAUAUCCUCGGCUAACUCCUUUGGCAAUCCUCCGAUUACGAGGGUAUUGGCAUAACUCUUCCGGCUCAAAGCAUCCGCUACGACAUUGGCCUUCCCUGGGUGAUAAUGUAGCUUCAUAUCAUAAUCCUUUAUAAGCUCCAACAAUCUCCUUUGCCUGAGAUUUAGCUCCUUCUGCAUGAAAAUGUACUUCAAACUCUUAUGAUUCGUGUACACAUCACAACGAUUUCCAAUAAGAAAGUGUCUCCAGGUCUUGAGCGCAUGCACUACGGCUGCUAACUCCAAAUCAUGCGUGGCAUAAUUCAACUCAUGCGGUCGAAGUUGACGCGAGGCAUAUGAAACAACUCUUCCAUCUUGCAUGAGUACACCUCCAAGUCCUAAGCGAGACACAUCGCAAUACACUUGGAACUCCUUACGUAUAUCUGGCAGAAUCAGCACUGGGGCUGUAACCAAACGUUUCUUCAGCUCCUGAAAACCUGUCUCACAUUCAUCUGUCCAUUUGAACUUGGUGUCCUUCUUCAACAACUCCGUCAUAGGCUUCGCAAUCUUAGAAAAAUUCUCAUUGAAUCUCCGGUAAUAUCCCGCGAGUCCUAGAAAACUGCGGAUCUCUCCAACUGAGGUGGGUGAUAGCCAGUCAGUGACUGACUUAACCUUGGUAGGAUCCAUGGCUAUACCCUCUCCUGAUAUAACAUGUCCAAGGAAUCCAAAUUCUUUCAACCAAAAUUCACAUUUGCUGAACUUGGCAUAUAACUGAUGUUCCCUGAGCUUCUCGAGAACUAAACGCAAAUGCUCCUUAUGUUCCUCUUCAUUUUUCAAGUACACCAAAAUAUCAUCAAUGAACACCACGACAAACUUAUCGAAGAACUCCAUGAACACCUUAUCCAUCAUACUCAUGAAAUAGGCUGGGGCAUUAGUCAAUCCAAAUGAAUAACCGUGUACUCAUAUAGCCCGUACCUUGUGGUGAAAGUUGUCUUGGGUAUAUCCUGUUCUCGGAUCUUCAGCUGGUGGUAUCCUGAUCGCAGGUCAAUCUUGGAAAAUACUUUAGCUCCCUGCAGCUGGUCAAACAAAUCAUUGAUCAUCGGUAGUGGGUACUUGUUCUUGAUCGUCACUUCAUUCAAUGCCCGAUAAUCAACAACCAUUCUCAAAGAUCCAUCCUUCUUCUCAACCAAGAGCACUGGGGCUCCCCAUGGUGACGAACUUCGUCGAAUGUAACCUUUCUCCAAUAACUCCUUGAUCUGCUUUUUGAUCUCUUCCAAAUCAUUUGCGGGCAUCCAGUAUGGUCUCUUCGAUAUUGGUCCGGUGCCUGGCAACAGCUCUAUCAAAAACUCAAUGUCUCGAUCCGGUGGCAUGCCGGGUAACUCCUCUGAAAAUACAUCCGGAUAAUCCUUCACUAUAGGCACUUCCUCCUAAACAAUUCCCGUGAGAGAAUUUACUUGGGUCCUCCUCGACGCAUGCCUGCAUAUAUACUUGAUCCUUUUUCCCUCCGGGGUGGUGAGUAGAAUUGACCUACUAGCACAGUCAAUGUUUCCUCCAUACUUCGAUAGCCAAUCCAUUCCCAGUAUCACAUCCAAUCCUUGUGACUCCAAAAUUAUUAGGUCUGAGGGGAAAAUAUGGCUACCAAUGGUUAAGGGUAUCCGAUCGCACCAUCGGCUGGCCAUAUACUCUGCUCCUGGUGAGCUUACUAACAAAGGUGUCCUAAGGGCUAAGGUGGGUGACUUAAACUUGUCCACAAAUCCCCUUGAAAUGUAUGAAUGCGAUGCACCAGUAUCAAAAAGAACGAGAGCGAUAAAUGACUUAACCAAAAACUUACCGAUCACUGCAUCUGGUUGCUCUUCAACCUCCUCCAUGUUCACGUGGUUUAGUUGUCCCCUGUUGAAAGGGUUGGGCUUCUUCCCAGAGCUUCCAUUUCCAUUGCCAUUCUUCAACUCAGGACAAUCAUUGGCGUAGUGUCCAGUCUUCCCGCAUUUGAAACAAGUAAUGUGACUUUGAUCCUUCUUGGCGGGUGUGGCUGGGUUAGCGUGGUUCUUCUGAUUGCUGCCUGCUCCAUUCCCGUUUCCAUUCUUGGGGCCACUGUGGUUAUGCGAACUUCCUCCAUUGUGGGUAUGGCCUCCAUGGUUAUGGGUAAAUCCUCCCGAGUUCGGGGUGAAACGAGGCUUCCGCUGAGCUCCUGAAUUGUACUUCCCUUGUCCAUACUUCCUCUUGCGGCUCUCAAUCUGCUGCUGCUUCCCUUCAAUCAUAAGAGCCUUAUCUACCAACUCCUGGUAGUUGUUAAACGUUGCCACCAUUAACUGCAUGCUCAUCUCAUCAUUCAGCCCUUCCAUAAAUUUCUCCUGCUUCGUGGCAUCUGUGGCCACAUCAUUUGGGGUAUAGCGAGAUAACUUACUAAACUCAUCUACGCAGUAUGGUUUUCCUGGCGUAAGUUGCGAAACUCACGCUUCUUCAUACUCAUAGCUCCAGUUGAGACAUGAGCAGUGCGGAAUGCUUGCUGAAACUGAUCCCAGGUGAUAUUGGCUAUAGGGAAAGUGGUCGUGUAAUUCUCCCACCAUGCGGCUGCGGGUCCAUCCAAUUGAUGUGUGGCAAAACGCACCUUCUCAGCAGCUGUGCAACCUGCGGUGGUCAACUUCCUUCCAAUCCUGCGCAGCCAGUCAUCAGCAACUAUUGGCUCGGUGCUACUAGAAAACACUGGCGGCUGCAACCUUAGAAAAUGGGCUAAGUUGUCAACUGGAGGUGGUGGCGGCGGGUUGUUGUUGUUGUUGCCUUGGUUCUGGACUAGUAGCUGCAUCAAGGCAUUCUGUUGUUGGAUCAACUGAGUGAGCUCCGGUGGGAAGACAAUCAGGGGUCGCGUCUCGGAGGCAUCUGAUGGUUUAGAGGGGAGAGAUUAGAAUAGAAUGAGGUCUAGUGAGAAAGCACUACCCAUAUGCACAUGAGACAAACACAUACAUAUCACACCAAUUCAAUCCAAGCAAGGGCAUAUAGUCGAUCUAACUAUCGUUAAAGUGCUCGGACUACUAAUAUAUACAUGGGGGAAUACUACUAAUCAUAUGGUGGCCAUCUAGAAAUUUUGAUCGAUGGAAGACUCCAUGAUAUCUGCUCCAGCUUCGUCUUCAUAAUCAUCAUCACUAUUAUCGGGGUCGGGGUCGGAGUCGGUGUCGUCAAUGAUGAUGUAGUCUUCAGAACGAAUGUCAUCAGAAUGGUCGUCAUCUCCUCCUGGCGCGGGGUCUCCCAUGAAUACUCCUAGCUUCCUUGUCAGGUCGUCAUUCUUCUCCACUAGUAUUGCUAUUUCCUCCUCGUAUCUGUCGCGUGUAGACUAGAGUUCCUCUUCUAGAUCCAUGUUCCUGGUCAUCGCCUUCUUCAGGUCUAUCAUGCUUGCACACAUCUGGUUCUCCUGUCGUCGAAUGUGCUGGUUUAACUCUAGGAUGAAAGCUGCAAUGGACCUGUCCCUCCUGGUGCUGAUCAUCUCCCAUUGCUCAUCUCGGCGCCCACAUAUCUGGUAGAUGGUGUCCUUAAGUUCCUUGUGAUAAACUUCGCCGAUGCGUCCCAUGGCGAUGUGGGCUGCCAUGCUCUUUCCUAGACUCCAGGUUGGUGCAUCGAAGGAAAACUCUAUGGGCUCAGUGACUGGUGUGAAUGUCCUUCCUGGAACUUGAACUCGAAUCAUCCAACGCUCCUCUUCUGGUAAAGUGGCGGUGUAGGUCCCGGUGAAGCUUGGUAUCCCAAUGUUCAGGUACCUAGUGACUUCCUUCAAGUGUCGUCCAAAAGGUGUGUCUUCAUCCGGUUGUGCAAACUUGUUCCUUGCGUCCGCCAUCCUAUAGAGUAGAAAAUGGAGAGGAGUCAGAAAUGAGUAGAGAAGAGUGACCUAUGGCUUAUCUUAGUGGUCGUGUCCUACAUUCAGCGUGUGCUCUCAUACCAUCUUGUAGCGAUCCGACCUCAGACGGUCGAAUCUCCGUGCAUAAGUGUCAUCCCUAGAUCGGUAAUGCUGACACACACAGUACUCGAAGGAUUUAUAACAGAGUAGCAAUCACACACUUAUUACAUCGAUAGUCUCAAGAGAGAACUUAUUACAAUAAAUAUGGCUUAAGGCCAUCUAAAUAAGAUAACAGCGGAAGGCUUGGAAGAUAAAGUGAGUCCAUCAACUCCAACGGCAUAGCUGAGUGCACGACAAUGGCCUAGCGAACCUUACUCUUCGUCUAAAAAUUCUGCAACAUGAUAUGUUGCAUCCCGAAAAUGGGCCAGCACAUGGAAUAUGCUGGCAAUGUAACACAGUAGAGCAGUGAACAGAAUAAAAGCUAUCACUACAUGCAUAUAUGGCUAGUGGAGGCUCUAUGGUUACAAUGUUUUGUGAAAAGCCAAAUUUUCCCUACAACAAAGGAAUAUAUUUUAUUUAACUAUAAUGGUAGUUGAAACAUUGAGAAUGGUACCCCCACCUCAAUCCCAAAUUAAAAGUAAUUACCAACUCAACAAAUUAAAUUAGAGUGAUGAGAUCAACAUGAUAAUCCAAGAACCAGAUACUCAAGAUGUCCAUAACCAGGGACACGGCUAACCAUGAUUAGUUUGUACACUCUGCAGAGGUUUGCGCACUUUUCCCCACAAGACUCGAUUUCCUCCGUUGGAUCUCUCGUACUUCAAGGUGUUUGAGAAACAGAUGACUGAGACACAGUCUUUCAGAAGCAUUAACUCUAACCCCGGGUAGACAGUACCAACCCACAUCCCCUACAUCUGCAAGCCUACCAGUGGAAGAGGUCAUGCAACAUACUCAACUAUGCUAGAGCCCAUAAUAGCUUGUGGCUGCACACGGAAGUUUCUAGCAUGAACAAGCUUAUGGUCCCUUUGAGCCUGGGUGGCGGACCAUAGGAGGAUCACACGGUAUAACCCCGGGAUCUCCUAGGACAACAUUGGUAUAACCCCAGGUACCCAAACCAACAAUCCACCCAGAUGUGUAUUAACGUUGCCACCUUAAGUUGAACCAUUAAUUAACAAUCUCACAUCUGUCAUGGAUACACCCAAACCCAAUCCACGUCUACGAGCAUAGCAUGGCAACAUAAGCAUAGCGUAGAAGUAACUCCCAAGGGUUUGAUAAUAAAACAGGUAAUAGGUUCUGCCUCAUCAUCUACUUCCCAAAACCCACAUGUUAUCAAAUCCUAACCAUGCAAUGUUUGAGGAUUGUAACUAAUGCAUAAAAAAGGGGUAUGAAAAUAGUAUGAUCAAUGUGUUACUUGCCUUGCUGACGAUCUGCAAACCCUAGAGACUCGUAGUAGCACGCUUCGCACUCCGGGAAUUCUAUCGCAAACAAACAAUAGCAUACAUAAGCACUCAAGCAAAGAUGCAAAGGUAAAUCUCAAAUAAUAAGAUCAAAUCUGAAAACUCAACUGAAGAGAUUCGAUUUGCAAAAAGAAUUAAUCGAAUCGGAGCUACGGAACUGAAACUACAGUCAAAAGAAUUUCGAAUUCAAAUCUGCUUGAAACCAAAUUUUAAAUUGUCGAAACCUUGUUCAAGUUGAUUAAACAGAAGAGGGACUCGAGACGAAGAUUUUGGCGUUGGUUUCACUGGAUUUGGACAAACGGUUUAGAAACGGCGAGGGUUUGAAGAUCAGGGGCUAAUCUGCGAUAAAAAUAAUCACGGAUAGGUCCCUGGCAGAAAAAUAAAAAAUAAAAGACUAACGAACGAACGUUCGCUGUCUGAACCUCACCGGCGAACAACGUUCGCUAAAACGAACGAUCGGACGAACGUCCGCUAAAUAAAUAAACCAACGAAAAACCGAACCGAUCUAUAAAAAAACAAAUCUAGGGUUUUCUGGAAAAAAACGACGAAAAACCGAACCGAUCUAUAAAAAAAUAGAUCUAGGGUUUUCUGAAAAAAACUGAGACGGUUUUUACCUAACCGAGCAAAAAGACCGGCGGCGGCGGCUAACUCCAGCGGGGCUCCGGCGGUGGCGACGGCGGUGUCGGCGGGUGGCGGCGGCGCGGUGGCGGCGCAGGCGGCGACAGCGACGCAGAAAUCGAGGCGGCGGAAAACGAGGCGCGGCGGCGGCUAGGGUUUCGGGCGGCGGGGCUGGCGGGGCGGUCAGGCCUCGCCUUUUAAAGGGGCCGGCCGGGGAAGUCCGGCUCGGGCACGGCGCGUAGGUCGUUUCUUUUUUUUAACGAACGGAGUAAAAUAAAUUAAAAAAAUACCAAACGAAGUCCAAAAAAUCCUGAAAUAAACUUUCACAGUCCUCUAAUAAUAUUUCGGACAAAGUCAAAAUUUAUUUGGGCUAAGAAUGCAAUUUUGAAAAAUGCACAUUUUUCUAAUUCAAAUAAAAUAGCAAUAAAAUCCAAAUAAAAUUAUUUAUUUAAUUUUAACAUUUUUCCUUCAAUAUUUCAUUUAUUUUAUAGAAGUCAUGUUAUCUCCUCUCAUAUAUUUUAAUUAUGAAAUAAUUUUUUUUUGGAGAGAAAAAUAAUAAAACCAAAAUGAUCCUCUUUCCAAUAUUUGAGAAAAGUCAAAUAUGAAAAUAAUAAAAUCCCCAACUUUCUCCGUGGGUCCUUAAGUUGCUUAGGAUUUUUAGGAUCACUACCAAAAUGCAAAUAAAAUAUAAUAUGCAUAUGAUGACCUAUGUAUAACAUUCCAAAUUGAAAAUUCGGGAUGUUACAGAUAUGGCAUGGCACACGAAGAGCAAUAAGGUGUGGAUAUGCUUGUGGCUUGUGAUGAUACUUCUCUUGUCAUCCGGUAGAAAAUACGAUCAACCCACACAUGAUCUCUAGAACAGAGUGAAGCGUCUUAAUUUUAGCUGAUUUUUAUUGUUUGUUGUUGUAUGCGGAAGAGAUUGGAUAAGAUGGAUGUGACAAACAGGUUAGCAAGACAUGGGCGAAAAGCUUACCAUGUGUUGUGAACGGCAAAUGGAACAACCCCUGCAAGAACGAGGGGUUCGAUAGCGGACGGUGCACGAAAUUUAGUACUCCCUCCGUCCCAAAAUAUAAGAAUGUUUUUUACACUAGUAUAAUGUUAAAAACUUUGUUAUAUUUCGGGAUGGAGGGAUGCUUAUGCUAUAAGAACUGCACCGGCGUACGGCGAUUGCUGUAGCGAUAUAUAUUUUAUUGAAUAAAUAAAUCAAGAAGCUCCUUAGCCAGAUUUGUAUGCUUUUAAUUUUUAAGAAAAGAAAUAAAGAAACGCGACACCGGUUGAAAAGGCAUGACUCCAAGCGGUCGGCUCCAACUUUUCUUAUUCGUUUUCAUACUACCUCGUAUUCACGCAUGGAUGACCAGGGCUUCAGACAUACAAUGGAUCUGCUAUUUUAUUUUUUUAAUCAAGAACUACUAAAAUGCACGUGCGCUACUAUGGGAGCGAGAAUAUUUUAGUAGGUCGCUCCUACUAAAAUAGGUUGUUAUGAGUAACGUGUGAGAUUUUUAACAUGAGGAGGUGUUGGGAUGUAAUCGAAUCGGACCGGAUUUUGUCUCUACCAUAUUUUUUUCUCGAGUUCAGGUCAGAUCGUAUAAUGAACAGUUUCAGAUUCGGCGGCGGAUAUAAAUGAUCAUGGAUUCGAAACGGAAACGUAGCGGAUUCGGGGCGGAAAUAAAGUUAAUCGGAUCGGUACGCGCAAUGUACAUCAUCAACCCACAAAACCAAAAAUAAUGGCUCAACAACUUCAUAAACUAACAAAGUUUUAUUUCAUAGCGGAAACUAUCUUUUACUCCCGGACACCAGUGCUCCUAUCACUAAAAAAAAUCGAAAAUCAUAUUUAUUAGUUUCAAAAAUUUCUGAAAACAAAU